rnacentral:lncRNA from 1 species
UAUUUUAUGCUUUAUGCAGGUACUGAAGAAGUGAAGAGCUACGACCGGAUUGAUUUUGGUAUGUUUGGUCGGAGUUGGGCUCCCAUUGUUUCUUGGGCCGUGAUAGUUGUUCCCCACGAGCCGGAGAGUAAUUGGAGAAAAAAUUUACCUCCUCCAAGUGUCAAUAAUAUGGACCCCGCUAGCUCGCUUUGUGUUAUUGCAUCUGGUUCUUCUAAUGGUUAUAAGCCUAUAGGUGAUGAUAAAAAGGAUCGUCCUUUUCAUGGCGUUAGAACUACAGUUCCAUUGAACAAAUUGAAAUAUGAUCGUGAAGUGUUGCGCGGAGGUUCUCUUGUUUUGGAGAUUAAUCUUCUAGAGGUUUUUCACGGAGGAGAUGUUGUGGAUUCUGAUCAUACUUUUGAUGGUCAAGUGUUUUGGAACUUGUACUCGAAUUGAAUAUUGUACGGUGAGAUAAGUUGAUGUGUGUAUUAAUGGUAUUAUCUAAUAUAAACAUAGGAUUGGACAUAUAGUUGUGUCAAUGUAUUGUGUAAUUUAACUACCUCUAGAUAAUAUUAUCGUUUGUGUAAUGAUUGUAAUUGAUGUUUUGUUGGAGGAUCCUUUAGUAUGCUUAUAAAAAGGAUUCAAGUGUGUUGUAAGGAGCAGAGCUCUUCUAAGUCUAGUCCAUAAAUAAAUAAAAGAGUUGACUAUAAUGUAAUAUUGUGGGGUCUUCUACUGUGUCUAUAAAAGGAUCCAAGUGUGUUGUAAUAUGAGUAGAGAUUCAUGAAUUUAGUCUAUAAAUAAAUUAAACAAGUGUUUUAUAUAGUCCUUUUAUGAACAUGUAUGGUCUCAUUUCCUUCAUAAAGCAAUGUAUAGCCGUUGUGACAAAAUCUUAUUACUCAAGUUUACUCAUGAAUCCUUUACACAAAUGUUACAAAUGUAUAAUAACAAAAUUGAAAAGUCAUUUUCACACGUUACAAAUAUAUACUAACAAAAUUGAAAUAACAUUAUUACAAAUUAGAACAAUAUGUAAUAACAAAAAAUAAAUAAAUAAACUCGAGGCUUGUAAAGUUAAUAGUUUAUUUAAAACAAAUUAGAACAAUAUGUUUUAUAUAUUACUGGUGAAGAUGAAGAAGAGAUUCGAAUAACAAGAAAUACCUUAUUAGUUCGCUUCCAGAUGAAAAAGCUUGGUCAGCUUAAGCACUUCCUUGGUCUAGAAGUUAUCGAAUAGAAGAAGGGAUAUUUCUUUACCAACAAAAUUAUGCCAAAGACUUGCUGAAGAAGUUUGAAAUGAUGGAAUGAAAACUAAUCUCAACUCCAAUGGAAGUAAAUGCAAAAUUGUGCACACACGAAGGCAGAGAUUUACAAUAUAGAACAAUGUAUCAACAAUUGGUAGGUAGUUUAAUCUACCUUAUGCUGAAUCAACCGAAUAUUUCAUAUGUCGUUGGUGUCAUGAGUUGGUAAAUGCAAAAUCCAAAGAAGCUUCACUUGGAAGUAGUUCUGCGAAUAUUAAGAUAUGUGAAGAGUACAAACAAUUAUGGUUCAUUGUGCAAGAAAGAUGAAAUUACAAGCUGACUAGCUAUUGUGACGCUGACUACGCCGGAGAUCAUGAUACAAAAAGAUUAACUACUAGGUAUGUUUUCAGAAUUAGGUAUGGAGUAGUUUUUUAGUGUAGUAAGAGACAACCAACUGUAUCACUAUCAACCACAGAGGCAGAGUAUAAAACAACAGUGAUGACAUCUCAAAAAAGCACUUGGUUGAUGUAGUUGAUCAAGGAUCUACACCAACUAGUAGAUUAUGUAUGCAAUACCACUGUAUUGCGAUAAUCAAUCGAUAAUCAACUUGGUAGAAAAUCUAGUUUUCCAUGCAAGAACUAAGCAUGUAGAGGUCCAUUAUCACUUCAUCAGGGAAAAUGUCUUACAAGAUAAAGUUGAGAUGCGGUACGUCAAGACAAACAAUUAAGUUACGGAUUUUUUUUUUUUAUAAAAAGUCUUUGUACCAUGAAGUUUAAAAAGUUUCGUCAGCAGCUCAAUAUGGAUCGAAUGAUGAAACUUGGUUUUGAGGGGGAGUGUUAAAAGUGCAACACCAAUUUUAUGAUCCAAUUAAAUAACAUUUGUCCAAAUCCAAGUUCAUAACUCAAUCCAUAGAAGACUUAAGAAUUGUGUAGAGAACAUGGGACAUUUCUAAUAUAAAAAUAUUUAAUGAUGAUGAAAAUAUCUUAUUUUAGAAAUCUCUUGAACGGUGAUAUUUAUAAAAUGUGAUUGUUAAAUUUUUAUAAUUUAAUGUUUUGUGUGGUUUGUAUUAGUUUUAGGAUACUAUAAAUACCGCUAAAUUCUUUGUUGUAGGCAUCAAGAGAGGAGUGAAGAAUUAGUAGGAAGAAAGAAGAGUGAGCCGUGAGUAUCGUAGUGUUUUUCUUAUAAAAUAUCAAUAAAAUCCUUUAAUUUAGUAAAAUUCUUCUAUUUCUUAAAUAUUUUCAGUCUUAAGCAGCUUCGUCCUUCUUUCUCAACAAAAGCAUUCCAUUUAGUAUAUGAAAAGAAAGUUGUGAGCUUGUGAAGUGAGAAUAAUUAGAAUAUCUUUUGCAAUUGUUAUUUUCCCAAUUUUAAGUAACAGAGUUGCUUUCUCCUAGUAUAAGAGAGAUUGUAAUUGUUCUAUCCUUGUAUUCAAAGAAAAUUGUUAUAAUCCUCAUUUGAAUAGUGAAUUCUUUCUACUUUUGUUGUGGAUUUUUAACCCGGUUUAUUUGGAAUUUUUUCCACUUAAAAUUUUUGUGUCCCAUAUUUCUUCAUUUGUUCUUAAUAUCACUUUGGUUUCGGUCUGAUACGGUCCUUAAUUUCCUAAUAGAAAACAACCGAAACCAUCCAAUAACGAGAGUGAUCUCUGAAAGCUCCAUUGCAGAACAUGGAUAACCGCUGCUUCGGCCAUCUGUAUUAACUUUUACCCAGCCAUGCACUAUCGGGCAAAUUUUAGCAAAAUAUUGAAAAUGAGAGGUAUAACCAACUUGUAUUAGAUGAAAGGAGGAUGGGGUGUUUUCAUAUCGUAGCUCUGUCACGGCAUCGAUGUGAAGAAGAUGAGUUGGUCAUGUCUAAUUAACAAAAAAAAAAAAAAAAUCCUUUCUGCUAAUCCCAAUUUCAAAGCUUUCUUGUGUCGGACUUUAAUUCUAACUUUGUAAUAUCACACUUUCAAUGGUUAUUUUACCUUUAUAUUCACUAUUGACUUAUAGGGGUGAAAUGAAUAAUUAAAACUCUAUUAUGGAUAUAAAUAACAAAAAAGAAAUUUAUGUGUCGCGGAACUGGUACUCAUAUGAAAAUAACAUUUGACAAUAUCGAACCAUUGGAGCACUAAAUAAAUUAUAGCAUUAUAUAAAAGGGGAUUUGAAUACAUGCUCAUGUUAUGCCCUACGGACUUUCUUUUGUAUUUGUUGGCAAAAAUUUGCAGAUCGUAGAUAUUUGCCCCUAAGGUAACAAAACUGCAAAAGCAUUUCGUGGGUAACAAGUAGUCGGGCUUUUAUCUAGAAUAUCUUUAUUCUUCCAUACCAAUAAAUCACUUAGAUUUUAUGGGCUACGGAUGGAAAUUGUUAAAUUCAUUAUUUAUAGAGUUUGUAUUUUAUGGCAAGUCUAGUUAAAUUAGAAUUUUAUUUAUUGUAUAUUUUGUAAUAGUGAUUAAUUUAUUAAUUCCCUAAUUUAGUGAGAUUUCAAUUUAUUAAGAAUAUUUAUUUCCUAAUUUAAUUAGAUGGCUAACUUAAAAAGUCAAUUAAUGAUGUGAUUCUAUAAUUGGCGCAUGAGCUCUAUUUUGAGUAUGAAGUCAGUUCAAACAUGAAGUUUAUUAAAUGAUUUAGAUAUUUCUUGGGAGACAAGUAAUGUAAGAAAAUUAGAUUUAUUCCUAUUCAGAUUCAUAGGAAUUAUAAAAGAAAAUAAACUCUUAUUUGGAAAGAAUCAAAAUCUUUUAAAAGUUAUUAUUUUUGUGAAAUCCUAGUGCCUAUAUAAAGAGAGGUAUUUCACAAUUGAAGGUGUGCAACACGGAGCACAAAGCAGGGACGCAAAAUUCGGCAUUCUCCCUAAAGAAUCCUAAUUUGGCACAUAAUAUUGUGUUGAUUUAUUUACUUAUCUUCUUUUCAUAUUUGUGUAGAGUCUAUGUGAAUUUUGGAUCACUAGACAUUAAAAAAUUAAAUAAUUGUUAUUGAUCACUUUGCGAAGUGCGUUAAGUAUCGUGGAUCAAGAGGGGUAGUAAUUAUUUAAGAAAAGCAAAUUCACUCUGUACAAUGAUAAACUGUAAAUGAGAGUUUUAAGUUUGAUAAAUCUAUGGUUGUAACAUCUCAACUUAGUGAAUUACUUUUCAUCUGAGCUUGACCUCGUGGAUGUAGAAUUAAUUAAUCUGAAUCACGUAAAAAUCUCCGUACCAUUUAAUUUCUGUAAUUUAUUGUAUUUUUGAAAAAUUAAUAUUUUGAUGCGGAUAAACAAUAACCGUAAACAUUAACUAUAAACAAUAAGCGUAAACAAUAAUGAUGAAUAGUAAUGGUAAACAAUAUUUCCGAAAGUUAAUUAAGUUGUUAAUUUUAAAUUUUUAAUUACCUACAUCUAAAUUGCCUACAUUUAGUGCAAUUUUGAAAGGUAUUAAAUUGGCAGCGGACUUGGGGUUUCUUCCGCUACUGAUAGAGUCCGAUUCAGUUAAUGUCAUUAGUCUCAUCUCAGGAAAAAUUAACAGCCAAUUAGAGAUUGAUUGGCUAAUAUCUGAUAUUAAAAGUUUUAUUUGUAAGAAAAGUGUUUGCUAUAAGACACAUUCCCAGAUCCGGUAAUUCAGCAGCUCACAAAGCUGCAAAAAUGGCUCUUGAUCAUGCUGAGUCGCGCACAUGGUUACAGGAUGCGCCUCCUGACAUUGUACCUCUCUUGUAAUGUUAUGGUGUAAUCAAUGAAAAUUUUAUUGUAAAAAAAAAAAUCCUUUCAGAAAUUAAUAUAUACUAUUUUAAUGUGGAAAAUCCCUUCAGAAUUAGUUCGAUAAAUACAAUAUUCAUCCAGUUACCGCAGGCUAAUAAUGCUCAUCCUGGAUAACUCAUGUCGCUUUUUACAUAUGCUGUAAUCUAAUUGGUGUGAUUAUCUUUGUAGCCCUACCUUCUCACUUGGCCAGAAUCGAGGUUAUAUAUGGUCAUGCAAUUAUACAUGAAAAAAGAAUAUCUUUCCAGUAGUUCAUUUUCCCUUUCACAUAGAGCGUACUGAGGAUAUAUAUAUCGGAAACCUGAGAAAACUAAUGAGAUAUUUGAAGGUUAAAGGGGAAGCCGGCUCCGUUAUUAAAAGCAAACUUCUUUAUUUAUUUAUAGACUAGAGUCAAGGAGCUUCACCCGUUACACACUUGAAUCCUUUUUCUAGGCACCAUAAAGGAUCCCAACAAUUAUACAUUACAAGUCAUUACCUUUAUUUAUAGACCAGACACAAGGCGCUCUGCCCAUACAACAUACUUGGAACAUUUUUAAAGGCACACUAAAAGACCAUCCACAACAAAACAUUGAUUCGAUCAUUACACUGGAGGUCGCCUUUUCAUCGGAAAUUGAGAUUUACCUUACCAAGAGGUAAUAUCAACGUUACACAAAACAUGACAUAUAACCAUGUCUAACCUUAUAUCUAGAUUAGAUUACACAGUACACACCAGCUUAAUUAUCUUACAGUAGUAUUCAAUUGGAAUACAAAUGCCAAUACACUUUACCAUCGAAAGUAUGAUCAGAAUCCAGAACAUUUCCAUGAGGUACCUCUAUAAGAUUAAUCUGCAAAACAAGAGAACCUCCUUCCUGCACAUGACGAUCUUUAUACAGUUCAUCUAAUUGAACCAUAGUUCUAAGGCCAUGAAUAGGACGAUUUUUAUCAAUAGGCCUAUAACCAUUAGUAUAACCAGAUGCAACAACAUCAAAAGAUACUUCAGCAUCCAUAUUAUUGGCGGCUGCAGGAGGCAGAUCUCCUCUCCAAGCAUCCUCGUUAGCUCUGGGAACAAAUAGGACGGCCCAGGAAACAAUAGGAGCCCAACUUCGACCAAACAAACCAAAAUCCAUCCUAUUCAAGUCCUUCAAAACACCAGGAUCUGCAUAACGCAGAAAAAAGUAGUCUGAUUUAAAACCUAUCAAUUUUCGCUGAUCACACGCCAUAUCUUCCGUGAUUAAUGAAAAAUAAGCGCUCAGAAUCAGAUCACUUGCCUCAGAAAUUAUUUUCGUUGCUCUGUCACUCUUUUUUCUGCUGCCGUCCAAAGACAUUUUCACGUCUAUUUAUGCAAGGGAGGAAUUCGAACACAAACAAAUCACAAAUAAUUAUUAAUUAAUUAUAAUAGGACUCUUAAUUAAUGCAUUCCAGCAUCUCCUUCUGCAACGUGUCUGGCGACGUGGUUUUGUCUUCGUCUGUGCUCCGCCUUUCAUUUCUUGGAUAUCUUCAUCAUAGGUAUUAGAGCCAAGUUAAGGUUAGGUAGAUGAUACAAGUCCUCUUCAAAAGGAUUUUGCUAGUAUUAGAGCCUAGUAAUGUAAGAUAUAAUCUCUCGUAAAAUUGUGGGCCUAAGUGGAACCUACAACUAAAUUUGUAUGAGACUGUACCUUACAUUACACGCUUCCUUUAACAAUUGACACAUGUUAAUUAAUGCAUUCCAGCAUCUCCUUCUGCAACGUGUCUGGCGACGUGGUUUUGUCUUCGUCUGUGCUCCGCCUUUCAUUUCUUGGAUAUCUUCAUCAUAGGUGUUAGAGCCAAGUUAAGGUUAGGUAGAUGAUACAAGUCCUCUUCAAAAUAGCUCUCUGUCACAAGUGGUUCCGGUACGUAGAUCCACGUCUUCUUUUGCAGCGUGGUUUGGCCUUUUCAGUUCUUCUCAUUCUUUGAUUUCUUCGAAUAGUUAUCUGCAUCGUGUUUACAGGUUAGGUAAGACUAAGGAUUGGGUUCGCACAGUUCUAAUAUUUUGAUUGGACCAUCCUGCAUCUAUCUCUUAUUUAGUUUAGCAUGACUUAUUUAACAUCAUAAAUAUUUCUUUAAUUUUAUAAUUUUUUAAAUAUUAAAUAAAUUAUUUUUUUAUUAGUAAAAUUUUAAAUUUUGAGUUUUUGAAAAUAGAUUGAAAAAUAUUUUUAAAAUAUUAAAAUAUUAUUUAUUUAUUUAAUAAUUUUAUUUCAUUCAUUUUAUAACAUAAAUUUAAAAAAUUACCUAUUAAAAAAAUUUAUAAUUUCUUAAUAAAAACUCUUAUUGAUAGUCAAAUACCUUAAAGUUUUAGUAAAAGUUUGCUUGUAAAAGAUUUAUUAACAAAAGUUAUGCCGAAAUAAAUUUUAUUUGAAAAAUUAUAUCAAGGCUUGAUUUGGUAUCAAAAGAAAAUUAUCAUACACUUAUAUUUUUAUAUUAUCAUUUAAAACUGAUGAGAAGAGUAAAGAAAGAUCAAACCAGAGUCAAGAAAGGUUAACAUAAAAUGAAAGAAAAGCCUCGGGCAUUAUACUAUGAUUUGGGAGAAUGAUGCGUUAUUUAGUUUUGGUGGGUGUAAAAGGAAAACGAAGCUUAAUAAUAUGAGCUUAAAACUCAAUUAAAAUGAGUUUAAUGAAGGGUAGUUUUAGCAUUUUAAAGUGCGAUCAUAGUUAAUUUUAAUUUUUGUAAUUUAUUGAAUAAACUAUUUGCAAUGAAUUAAGAAAAGUAAUCAAUAAUUAUAACAAUAAAAGUAAUGAUUACUGAAACAAACCAUCUCGAACUUCAAGAGCAAAUCUAUCUAAUUUCUUUUAACGUGAUUACUAAAACUUAUUAAUAAGGAUUUUGCUAAAAUUUUCCAACAUGCAAAUCUUCAAAACAAACACUUUCAAAAUAAUUCAAUACACAACAAACUUGCUCAACCUUCUCAACCAUGAUAUUGAAUAUCACCUAAACACUUAUAAAGUAUCAAAAGAUUAUGUUAUAGCUAAUGUCAACAUAUAUUAAACAUUCAUAAUCAUCAAAUCAUAAUACAAUUAUACAAUCCAAAAUGAGAUGAUCUAAAUGCCCUAAUAAUAUCAUUUAUAUCUUUUAGCACCAUCACGUGGCCAAAAUUCAAAAACACUACAGUUGUUGGGUCGAUUAAUGUAUCCACAACCUUCUGUGGGGGAAAAGUAUAAUAAAAUGGAAUGAAUAUAAAACUCAACGAGUGAAUAAUAACUUUUGAAAAUAAUAUAUUUUAAAAUAAUUAUAUCUUUUCAAUAUACUAUUUUCAUCAAACUAUAAGUAAGAACAUAGAUAAAUUAUUCGAACUUUAAAUAAAACAACUAUCGUUUUAAUUUUAAAGUGCGAUCGUAGUAAAUUUUUAUUUUGUUAAUUUAUUGAAUAAACUAUGUACAAUCAAUUAAGAAAAAUAAUCAAUAACUAUAACAAUGAAAGUAUUGAUUACUGCAACGACCCACCUCAAACUUCGAGGGCAAGUCUAUCUAAUUUCUUCUAACGUGAUUAGUAAAACUUAUUAAUGAGGAUUUUGCUAAAAGUUCAUCGACAGAGUCCCCCCCUAUAUUUAUAAAAUUUCUAACAUGCAAAUCUAAACACUCCCAAAAUAAUUCAAUACACAACUUGAAAUACUAACUAGGCAACCCAAGAGGGGGGGUGAAUUGGAAUUUUAUAAAUUAAGCUAAGCAAACACACAACAAUCCAAUCUAAUGCUUUAAUAAAUUCGAAAACAAUAAAUUCAAUGAAAGCACAAUAAUAAAUGAGCAAGGGAAGAGAAAGCAAACUCAAUGAUUUUUACGUGGUUCGGCAAUCCCCGCCUACGUCCACGCCUCCAAGCACACCGGGCUUGAUGAUUUCACUAUUCGAGCCUUUCCAAGGCUUUAAUCGUUUACAAUUGACUUCAAUGUGUCAAUGAACCUUUACAACAAGAGAUUAUCUCUCCAAUCUCUUCACCCCAAGUGUUUCUCACACUUGUACACUCACAAUUUGAUGAGAAAUGAAAAUUACAACAAUAAAACUCUCUUUAAGAGUGGAUAUACAAAUUGAAGAACAAAGAUGAUUUAAUAAAUGAUGAUUUACGAAAUUGAAGCUCAAUAUAUGUUGUGUGCACUUGUUUUUGCUUGCCAAGAUUACCAAAAAUGAAUUGGUUUUGAGUUUAUAUAGUUUGAGCUCAAAAACUAGUCGUUAUGCACUUUUUGGUCAUAACCGCCUUAUUGUUUAUGGAAUCCGAUUAGCCGCUUGUAUGUUAUCGUUACAGCCAAAAUUUGAAUUUCUGAACAUCCGGUAUGCCGCUUAUAAAAUCCGGAUAGCCGUUUAUGCUCCAGAAGCUUACUGCCCAACAACCGGAUUACCGUUUGUCAGGAUCCGAUUAGCCGCUUUCAAUUCGGAUAGAUUAUGCCCAACAUCCGGCUUACCGAUUUUUCACAUCCGGUUAGCCGCUUGCUACAGUGACUGCUAUAGUGAACUAUUUUCUAAAAUUAUAGUUUAACCCCAAAACUUUCCAUAACUGUACUAGGGCCCAAAACGUUAUAAAUUUAGCAAAUAAGUCCAAUUUCAGAAUCUCUAAAUAAUACUUGCUAUUCUCAAAACUUUUUGAAAUUAUGAUAUGGCCCAAAAUAAUAUGAAACUGUUCAAAUAAGUUAUUUUCCAAAAUUUCAAGCAAUACUUGUUGAUUUCAAAGUUUUCAAAAUUCUUUCAAUUAAACCAUAAACUUGAAAAGCAACCAAUUUCAUAAAAUCAUUUUUCCAUUAAAUAUGAAACUUUUAUAAUGAGAAAAUAAUGAUUUAUUUAAAAAGUAUAAAAAAUAAUUUGAGCUUAAAAGAUUAAUCAUUCUUAAUCUUGUUUGUUAUCAUCAAAAUCAACAUUAUGGAAACAUAUAUGUUAACAAUCUCCCCCUUUUUGAUGAUGACAAACAUUUCAUGUAUUUAAAGAAUGAUUCCACAAAUUGCUCCCCUAAAUAUAAUCUUCUCUUACAAUUUGCCAAUUAGCUAAAUUAACAGAUUUAAAUAGAUGGAUUUUUCUCCCCCUUUAUCAUCAAAAAGAAAACUUAAUUGGCAAAGAAAAAGAGUAGUAAAUUUUUAUAAAUUUAAAAAUAUGUAUUCUUCUCCCCCUUCAUCAUCAAAAAGAAAACUUAAAGGAAAAGAAUAAGAGUAGCAAAUUUAUUACUCAUGUUUGUCCAAGUAGAAAUUUCAACACAUUCUCCCCCUAACAACAAGCAUUACCUUAAAUACAAGUUUAGUAAUAUUACUCCCAAAUUAUUAUAAAUCAUGAUACAAGCCAACUCCAUACACAAAUCAUCACACCAAAAUAUCAUGAACCAUUAUUCCAUUAAUUACCAAAUCAACAACUCAUAACAUAAAAUUAUCAUAUAAAACAACUAUGUAAUUAAUCAUCAUUAUCUCAAAAUCAUCAUCAUAAUCAAAUAUCAAUCAUUAAAAGAAUACUCAAAGUGCAUAUUAUUCUCCUCAUUUUAACAACAUCGAAAUGAUAUAUUACUUUGUCUCCCCCUUUGGAUAAUAAAAAAGUUCAAAAUGCAUAUUAUUCAAAAUCAUAUUAUAUGCUCCCCCUAAAUAUAUGACCAAUUUAAAAUUUUAACCAAAAUAAUUUUAUCCCAAAACAUAUCAUAUUUGUCUCCCCCUAUCAAUCAUCAAAACCUCAAAUCAAGCACAUUAGUUCAAAAUUAUCCAAAACAUAAGUAAAGAACAUAACAUAUAACUAUAUCAAAUCUAUAUAAUUCAAAACAGACAUAUAAUCCAAAAUCAUAGCAAACAUCCAUAUAAUCCAAAUGCAAAAUAAAAGAAAAAUAAAAUAGUAAAUGUUGGUGUGUUCAAAUACAAGUAUAAAGGAUUUGAAGUGAAAAAGGAUGAGAUUGAUGGAUUUUAGAGAGAUAUUGCGUGAGAGAGGAAGCGAUUUUUAGUGAGAGAGUAACCAAUUGACUGAAUGAAGGAGAAGAGGAUGAACAAAAUUUGAAUGCCUGAAUCUGGCUUACCGGAUUUCACUAACCGGUUAGCCGGUUGUGGUCCAGUGAGUGUGCAACGUGAAUUCGGGUUUCUGGUUUACAUAACCGGUAAUCCGGUUAAGUCCUGUGAUGAAUGGUCACGAAUCCGGUUAUCCGGAUAUUCCUAACAUGUUAAUCGGUUGGAGGCAGCAAGUAAGCAACGCGAAUCCGGUUUGCCGGAUCUCAUAACCAGCUAUCCGGUUGUGUCCAGCAAGCAUCAAACUAAAUCCGGUUUUCUGGAUUUCAUAACCGGUUGACCGGUUCUUUCCAGAAACCAAAUUCUCUUCAAACGGUUUAUUGGUUUUCCAAUCCGGUUAUCCGAAAUAUGACUUAGAGAAUAAUUAAUAAAAAUGAUGGUUUUCCGGUUGAUUAGAAGAGGUUUAUCGGUUAAAAUAUAGAGAAUAUUUUUGAAGUUUAGUAAACUCUUAGACUUGUAUUACACACACUAAUUUAUUUUUAGCUUAAAAAUUGAUCAAUUUUUGAAUCAUUUUGAGAUUCAAAAUUUUUCAAUAAGCCAUUUAAUGCAUGAGACAUAAAUGUAUACAAGACCAAACAUAUGAAAUCGUAUCAAACAAUGAUGUCAAUUUUAUAAAUGAAUGAUGAUAUAAACACAAUUAAUGGCAUAUGAAUUCACACAUAUAUAAGAGAUUGACAAUGAUGAUAGACAAUUAAGAAGAUGAAAUCAAAGACCAUACAAUCAUCAAAAUCAAACAAAGACAUCAUGAUAAAUCACUCAAUGUUAUACACAAUGAUAAUUCCAUCAUGUAAACAUACAAGCAUACUUUCGCAAAUUCAUAAACAUGAUUCAUUCAACAAAAUUAAUAUGGCAAGAAUUGUUACCAAAACAAUUAAAUCAUCUUGCCUCAUCUUUUUCUCCUAGAUCAUACUCAAGUGAUUAUCCUCACAAGCUUUCAUCAAGGAACUUCUCCACCAUUCCUUGAUUGUGGUACCUACAAAGAAAACAUUCACGUUGUGCCCUUUGGUACCCAAAUACUCUUGGGUCCUUGAGUGUUAGCAAUGGUUCCUUUUGGAACCCAAACACAUUUUACUCCAUAAUAUACUUUUCUUUUAAUAGGACAACCAAGCUUCAUGUGACCAUUUUGAUUACAAUAAUGACAUACAACUUGAUUGUUAAUAGAUGUACUCUUCACAAAGUAGUUCUUAUAAUACUUUUGUUUCAAAUUUGGCUUAUAACCAAGUUCUCCUUUAUCAAACACACAUUUUUGUGAAUUAAUCAAGUUAUCCAACAUCUUUUGUCCAUUUGUAAAUUUUAAAACAAUCUCAUUUAACUCAUUGCUUUUCUUCUUAAGCAUUUCAUUUUCCUUUUUCAAGUCAUCUAUGUGAUAUUCUAGAUGCUCAUGUGAAGUGCUAGGUUUCUCAUUUGAUAAUGCAACUCUAUCAUGCAAUGUUUUAUUCUCUAAUUCUAGGCAUGUAAUCUUUGCACAUAGAGAUUCAUUUUCAUUUUUGAGCUCUACCAUUUUCUUUUUAAGACAUGCAUUCUUUUUACCAAUUUUCAUCCACUCAUCAUGCAAUUCUUUAAAAGCAUCAUGUAAUUCAUCAUAAGUAGGAAGAUCAUUUACCUCAUCAAGUUCAUCAUCCGAUUCAUCUCCAAUUGCCAUAAGAGCUAAAUUUGUCAUUUCUUGAUGCUCUUCAUCAUCACUUGUUUCCUCCUCGCUAUCAUCCCAUGUGGCUACCAUUGCUUUCUUCUUGAGCUUGUUGAGAAGAGGGCAUUCCGAUCUUAUAUGGCCAGGUUUCUUGCACUCAUAACAUUUGAUUACUUCAUUAUUCUCCUUUCGGUUCUUGAGGUCUUUAAAUUUUCUUCGCUCACUGGAUUUCUUAAAAAAAUUUCUAAACUUCCUAGCCAGCAUAUCCAUCUCCUCCUCAUCCAACUCGCUUUCCUCAUCACUCUCAUAUUUCAAGGCUUUGAGAGCAAUGUUUUUCUUCUUCUCCUCAUUGCCUGUUUCGGCUGCCAGGUCUUCCUCAUAAGAAAUAAGAGAACCAACUAAAUCAUCAAUAGGUAAGAUAUUUAAAUCUUUGGCUUCCUCAAUGGCAGUCCUUUUUGGUCUCCAUUCCUUAGGUAGCGACCUAAUAAUUUUCUUAACUUUCUCGCUAUUUGAAAAAGUCUUUCCUAGGGCUCCUAGAGUGUUCACUAUGUCUGUAAAUCUAGUAUACAUAUAAUACACACUCUCAUUUUGUUCCAUUUGGAACAAUUCAUAUUGUCGAGUGUACCUACUAAUUUUAGACUCUUUCACUUGAUUCGUGCCUUCAUGAACAACUUCAAGUUUGUGCCAAAUUUCAUUAGCACUCUCACAACUAGAUACUCUAUGAAAUUCUUUCUUAUCUAGUGCACAAAACAAGGCAUUCAUAGCUUUGGAAUUUAGAGUAGCUUUUCUCUUUUCCAAUUCAUUCCAUUCCCGUGAAGGUUUUGGAAUAUCUUCCCCGACUUCAUUUUUAGUCAAAGGCAUAAAAAGACCAUCACAAACAACUUCCCAAAUUUCAUAAUCUAGUGCUUGUAAAUAAAUUCUCAUCCUAGUUUUCCAAUACGGGUAGUCAUUUCCGUCAAAGAACGGUGGUCUAAUUGUGGAUUGUCCUUCUCUAAAGGUUGAGUCAUUAUGGGUUGCCAUGGAUCUUUAACUCUAGACGGUUAAGUCUACACAAGAGCACCUCGCUCUGAUACCAAAUGAAAUACUAACUAGGCAACCCAAGAGGGGGGUGAAUUGGAAUUUUAUAAAUUAAGCUAAGCAAACACACAACAAUCCAAUCUAAUGCCUUAAUAAAUUCGAAAACAAUAAAUUCAAUGAAAGCACAAUAAUAAAUGAGCAAGGGAAGAGAAAGCAAACUCAAGGAUUUUUACGUGGUUCGGCAAUCCCCGCCUACGUCCACGCCUCCAAGCACACCGGGCUUGAGGAUUUCACUAUUCGAGCCUUUCCAAGGCUUCAAUCGUUUACAAUUGACUUCAAGGUGUCAAUGAACCUUUACAAUAAGAGAUUAUCUCUCCAAUCUCUUCACCCCAAGUGUUUCUCACACUUGUACACUCACAAUUUGAUGAGAAAUGAAAAUUACAACAAUGAAACUCUCUUUAAGAGUGGAUAUACAAAUUGAAGAACAAUGAUGAUUUAAUAAAUGAUGAUUUACGAAAUUGAAGCUCAAUAUAUGUUGUGUGCACUUGUUUUUGCUUGCCAAGAUUACCAAAAAUGAAUUGGUUUUGAGUUUAUAUAGUUUGAGCUCAAAAACUAGUCGUUAUGCACUUUUUUGUCAGAACCGGCUUACGGUUUAUGGAAUACGGUUAGCUGCUUGUUUGUUACUGUUACAGCCAAAAUUUGAAUUUUUGAACAUCCGGUAUGCCGCUUAUGAAAUCCGGAUAGCCGUUUAUGCUCCAGAAGCUUACUGCCGAACAAUCGGAUUACCGUUUGUCAGGAUCCGGUUAGCCGCUUUGAAUUCGGAUAGAUUCUGCCCAACAUCCGGCUUACCGGUUUUUCACAUCCGGUUUGCCACUUGCUUCAGUGACUGCUACAGUGAACUAUUUUAUAAAAUUAUAGUUUAGCCUCAAAACUUUUCAUAACUGUAUUAGGGCCCAAAACGUUAUACAUUUGAUAAAUAAGUCCAAUUUCAGAAUCUCUACAUAAUACUUGCUAUUCCCAAAACUUUUUGAAAUUAUGAUAUGGCCCAAAAUGAUAUGAAACUUUUCAAAUAAGUCCUUUUCCAAAUCGAAACCCGAUAUGCCCACCCCUAUUUUAAAGCCGACAGACCAAUGGAAGAAAUGGAAAGCAAAAAUAUGUUACAGUUAUUAACUUGAUUCUUGGGUAUUAUAAUCUCAAUAUUUAACAUGAUGUUGUUUCUCAUAUUAGUUUCUAUCUUCUGCGUUGAGACCUAGAGUCUUAUUUAAGUUGGCAUCUUGUAAGGGUUGGCAUUCUUAUUGAAUUGUAAUUCAUAAAUUGAAGGCUAUGUUAAUUGGGAGAUUUCUUAAUUUAGUUAUUUUCUUAAAAUUAGGAUUUAAGUCUUUUCAUUUUAAGGAUUUACUUAGAACACAUAGUCUAAUUUUGGAAGCAAAUCAAAAUUUAAAAAAAAAAAGGCUCUCUAUAACUUGUUAUAGAAGUUAUACAUUGAAGAUAGUUCAUCACAAGCAGAAAAAUAGAAUUUUAAGGUGGAUGAACAAUGCUAUAAAUAGUAUUAGAUGAACAAUAUUAGUUAAUAGUGUCUAUUGAAACUAUUCAUUGAACUUUAAUCUUUAUAGGGUACACGCUUAUUUAGUCUCUAUAUUGUCACUCAAAUAUAUGUUUAGUCUCACAUUAUAAAAUAUAUCUCAAAACACUCAUAUAGUUAAAUAUGUUACAUUCUUAUCCUUUUUUGGUUUUAUGAUAACACCCUUCAAACAAUAUUCUUGACAUGAAUUAAGGUAUCUAUAAAAAAAAGUUAAUUAGCAUCUUAACCAAUAAUUAAUUAUUAGCAAAUUAAUUAACAAAUACCACUUUGAAAGAACUAAUAUUUUUGUACUCUUGCAACAAUCUUACUAAUAAUUAUUUAUAAAUAAAUUAAUAUUAGCCAACUUAAAACAAUGUUUAUUAAUAUCUUUACAACAAUUUUAAUAAUAAUUUUUUUAUAAAAAUUAAUUUACUAAAUUAAUUCUAAAAGUAAAAUAAUAAUAUAAAAGUUUGGGUAAAUUUUUAUGUUACUUUAAAGAUAAAUUUUGGUAAAUUAACAAUUUUUAUUGAUAUCCCAAGAAUAUUGUUGCAAGAGUGUUAUCAUAAAAAGAAAAAAAUUAAGGGUAACAAAUUAAGGGUAGGAAUGAAACAUAUUUGACCUCAUGGGUGUCUUGAGAUGUGUCUCUCUGUGUGUAACACUUAAAUCAAAAUAUAGGGAUUAAAUAAGUAUUUACCUAUUUUAUAUUCAUCCCACUCUUAGAUAUACUUUUGGUGUGUUUGGGAUUGAGGUUGAGCAGCUGUAGCUUUUAAGCUACAACACUAAAGUGUUUGGUAAACACUAGCUGAUGUACCUUUAAAGUUAUGUUAAUAUGAUUUUUCACUUGUAUAAUAAAAUAUCUAUUAUAUCUUUAAUGAUUUUGUCAAAAUUAUUAUUUAAAAUUUAUAUUUACUAUAUAUUAUUGAUUUUUGUUUUAUAGUUACAGCUUUUUUUUCCAUAGCAGUUGUAGCUUAAAAGUUAUAGCACCUCAAUCCCAAACAGGACCUUUGUUAAUUGGUCUCUCUUCGUUAAUUGGUCUCUUCCAAAAAAGAUGUUGUUUGGAGCAGUUAAGUAAUUUCAUAUCAAGGUUAUGAACAAGAAGACAAAUGGUUCUCGCAAAUUACAUAUGCCUUAGUUGACUGAGAUGGCGGCAAAAGUAAAUUUUCCUACAUAUUAAAAUACUAAAUGUGAUAUAAGAACCAACUAUAAGCAAGUUAAAUUGAUGAUUUGGUAUAAUUACAAUAAUUAUUAUUUUUAAUUGAUUUGUGGGUUGAAAUGGCUAUAUAAUCAUUCUUAAGUGCGAGCAUCCAUAUUUUUUUGGGAAAAGGACAAACACACCCCCAACGUUUAGGCAAAUGGAUAAAAAACCUCCUAACGUUUUAAAAAAGACAUUUACACCCCAACUUAUUAUAAUUUUACCAUUAUACCCUUCUAGCAUAUAAAAAAAUUUAUUAGAUUAUCUAAUUUGUCUAUAUAUUGUUAACAAAAUUAUAAAUAGAAAAAUUGGAUAUUAUUAAAAAAUUAUAAAUAUACCCUCAUUGCCCAAAUCUUCUAUUUAAAUUUUUAUCAAUAACCAAUUUUCAAAAAAGACAUCUAUACACCUAAAAAAUUAUAAAUAAAUUAUAAUUUUAAAAAUAAAAUUGGUUAUUAAUAACCAAUUUUAUUUAAAAUUUAAACUUUUAUAUUUAACAAUUCUCCACAUGUCAAUCAUUUAAACCUGUACAUUUAUAACCAAUUUUCUAUGUUAUUUAUUAUGGUAUUAAUAACCAAUUUUAUUUUUAAAAUUAUAAUUUAUUCACAAUUUUUUUUUAAGUGUGUAGAUGUCUUUUUCGAAAAUUGGUUAUUGAUAAAAAUUUAAAUAGAGGAAUGAGGCAAUGAGGGUAUAUUUAUAAUUUUAUUAAUAAUAUACAGACAAAUUGGAUAAUCUAAUAAUUUUUUUUAUAUGUUAGAAGGGUAUAAUGGUAAAAUUAUAAUAAAUUGGAGGUGUAAAUAUCUUUUUUCAAAACGUUAGGGGGGCUUUUGUCUCUUUGCCUAAACGUUGGGAGUGUGUUUGUCAUUUUUCUUAUUUUUUUUAAUACGGAUACGCUCUUAAACUGUAUAAUUAAAAAAGAUAAGUUUUGAAAUAAAUUAUAAUAUUGUACUGUUUAAAAGAAUUAAAAACUAACUCUCUUUAAUUUCACAACUUAAAAACGUAGCCAAAAGGAAAUUUUAGGGUGCCGGCAUUGAAAAAAAACACAUAUAAUGCUUAUCAAAUCUAAGAUUAAAAUUCGGAAUUAAAAUUUGAGACGUAUAUAAAAUAUCGUAAAAGUAAUUUAGGAUGCCAUAAAUUCAUACUGGUGUCUAGUUCUAAACUUUAUCUCCAGAUUUCAAACAUUCAUCGCUUUGUGGCCCCUAUUUUCUUUGUUUUUCUAACUUUCUUCCGGUGGCGGAGCCCACCAUUGGAAGAAGUUAAUUUUUUUUUUUGACAUUUUUUUCAUUGUCUAGCCCACCACCAUGUUUGACUCUUCUCUAGAAAAAGUUGCUUUUCUGGGUUUCUCAAUGAUGCUCUAAUUUUUUUACAGCAUCAAUAAUAUUUUUAAUUGUGUAUCAUUAAAUUUAAUCAAUGAUAUAUUUAAUCAAUGGUAUACAAUAUUUAUAGUAAAAAAAAUAAUAAACGGUUAAUAAAUGUGUAAGGGGUGGAAAAUUUUAUAAAAUAACUAUGAUCAUCCUUAGAGUUUGAAACAAUUUCACUUAAAUAGCAUAUUUUAUUUAAAAUUAUUUUUCAAUCCUCCUUUAAAUUUGAAUUGUGAUAAUCUUUUUUUAAAUAAAUCUUCCAAAAUCUAUUACCAUGAAGUAUAAAAUAUAAUGGUAGGUUAUUUAACACAAAUCAAAUAAAUAAGUUACAAUUAUAAAAUUUAUAUAUGAUAUAAUAGUAAUAAAUAACACAACUAAGUACAUAUACUUAAGUAAAUGCAUAGUUACAUCAAUAAACUCAUUGUUGAGAUUGCUUGUAAUAUAAAAAUUACUUGAUCACACAUGUUUUAAUAAAAUUUAAUAUCGUAUAUUAAAAUACUUAUUAUUUUAUAUAAUAUUAAGGGCCAUUGUAUAAUUGAUCAUGAAGUAUGUAUUAUUUUUAACACCCAUUUAACAUACUUAUUCUCUGAACUUUAUAUUUAUCUUACAAUUAAUAUCCUUACAUGGUAGGAAUUUUAAGUUUUAUAAGCCUAUAUAUUUUCAUUUUAUUUUCAAAUAUCACUUUGUUAAUUUCAUAAAAGUUAAAUCUAAUAUAUAUUCCUAAUGAGCUUUAGUUUAUGAAUCGUGAAAGAUUAUUUUAUUGAUAUCAUUUGAUUGUAAUUAUAAAAUUUUAUGUUAUUAAGAGUCAUUACUUUUGUUAUGAUAAUUAAUUGUGACUAUAAAUAAAAUAUUGUCUCCAAUAAUAUUUACACAGGAAAAAAAGUGAACGAAAAUCAUUUGUAUUUUUAGAUUUUUAUUGACAUGGUAGGAAAUUAUCUCAGCCUUAAAACAUUUAACUUUCACAAGCUUGUUUUCAUUUUAUUUUCAAAUGUCACUUUGUUAAUUUCAUAAAAAUUAAAUCUAACACAUAUUCCUAAUUAACUUUAGUUUAUGAAUUAUAAAAAAUUAUUUUAUUGUUAUUAUUUGAUAGUAAUUAUAAAAAUUUUAUGCUACGAAGAGUCAUUACUUUUAUUAUGAUAAUUAAUAGUGACAAUAAAUAAAAUAUUACAUCAAAUAAUAUUUAAUGGACAAAAUGAGGAAAAAAAAUCAUUGUAUAUUUUUAUAUUUCCAUUAUAAAGAUAUGGUUUGGGAUACUUUAACUUAAAAUUUUGGCACACUAGUUGAGCCACUAAUAUGUCAUAGUCUAAUGGUUGAUAUUGAAAGUCAAAGCAACAUUUCAUAAUAUUAUAUCUUCCACCAUUGAAUUGCAUGAAAUAAAUAGUUUAAUUUUUUGAUAAAAAUUUAAAUCAAAAUAUUUCUCACUCUAUAGUUAUAUAGACAUAUAUAUUUUUCAAUAAUAAUUGGUGAAUAAAAUAUUUCUCAUUUGUUGUGACUCAUAUAGUAUUAUUAAUAAAACACAUAUAAAAUUGUUUAUUGCAAUGCUUUCUAUUAUCAUUAUUAUUUAGGUAUUAAUGGUUUGUAAUUAAAUUCAUACAAUACAAAUUAUUACAAGACUUUGUGUUAAAUAACCUACUUGAUAUUAUAUUUUAUACUUAAUGGUAACUGAUUUUGGAAGAUUUAUUUAAAAGAGAUUAUCAUAUUACAAAUUUAAAGGAGGGCUGAAAAGUAAUUUUAAAUAAAAUAUACUAUUUAAGUGAAAUUAUUUCAAACUCUAAGGGUGGUCACAAUUAUUUUACAAAAAUUAUCCACCUACUUGAACGGUUACCAUUAUUUUUUAGUACAAAUAUUAUAUACCAUUGAUUAGAUCUAAUGGUUCACAAUUAAUAAAUUAUUGAUGCUGUAAAAAAAUUUACAGCAUCAUAGAGGAACCCUGCUUUUCUAUAUUUUUUUCAAUGUCGAACCUGCCGAGCCCACCAACAUGUUCUCAUUUUUUUUUUAUUUGGCAAACCCUUACAUACAUUUAAUGUAUCUUACACCAAACAAUGAAUGGACGCCACACCACUCACUGUGUGAGUGGUUAUAAUAUAUAUUAAGGCCAUGUUUGCUUGGGGGUUGAGAAGUGAGGAGAGGAAAAGAAUUUAAUUUUUUUUAUAUUUUCCAUUGUUUUGUUGGACUAAAUUUAAUGGAAUUGAAUUUUCAUUGAAAUUUAAUUUCCAUCAAUUUGAAGAAUUUGUAUUCCUUAUCAAUGACUAAGGAUUUCAAAUUUCUUAUCUAUUUAAACACAAAAAUUCUAAUAUUAUCCUCUAAACAAAAUCAAUUUUAAAUAAAUGAAAGUAUAAAUAAUUUAUAUUUAUUUUAUUAAAUUAAUAGGAUAAAUUUAUUUGAUAAAAGAAAAAAUAGUAAAGUGACUCACCGGAAAGUCACCGAAGACUCGCUGGAGUUUCGCCGAAGACGCGCUUUUCCAUCAAAACCGGUACCAAUAGAAUCCUCAUGAGCCGAUCUACAACUUUAUGGGAUUAGAAAUGCUAAUAUACAUUGUUAUUUACCUCAAGUCUUGUUUAAAUACUUGGGAAAAUUUUAACUCAACUAUAUAGUGUAUUUUCUUCAAAAUUAACAUUUUCAAUGAGUAAAUCAUCCAUUUUUUUUAUCAUUAUUAUGCAUUUAAUGCGAUGAAAAAUGGUAGUCAACUAUGGUCAACGGCGCCGGUCAAUGACGAUCAACAGAGGUCAAUGCGGCAGCUGUUCAUGCCCAAAUGCUGUAAUUUUUAAAAAAUAAAUUUUUUUAUUUAAUUAAGUAAUUUUUAGAUUAAAUUAAUUCAUAGUUUUAUUAUGUUUUAAUUUAUUAACAAUAUUAACAUUAAAGAUAGUGGGUAUAUUUGUCCAAAUAAGAAAUAUGUAAUUUCUUUUUCUUUCAAAUUUUAUGUGAAACCAAAUAAUAACAAUUAAUUUUUGCACUCUUUUCCUCUUAUCUCAUCUCUAUUCCUCUCAUUUUUUCUCCUUUCGUCUCCUCCCCUUUUUUAAAACAACACCACAUAAAUGUAUGUUAGAGGAAUCUUUUUUAUUUUAUUCAGGCUUUGAUUUCCUUUCAUCGGUGGGGUAGGUACUUUUAAAAAGAAAAUUAUACUUUAAAAAUAUUUUCAACAUUUAUUUUUAAUUAAAUAUUAUAUUAUCAAAUUACUCUUUAUGAAAUUUACCGUUAUAGACAAUCAGAAUUACUAGAUAAAAUUUUAUAAUUGUGUCAAAAAAAAUCAUUUUUUAAUUUUUUUUCAUUUUAAUUUUCUCCUCGACUUCACUGGUAAAUAUUUACUCUAAAAAAGGGUGGCUGUCAAAACAAAAAUAAAUAAAUAAUUGGGCAUUGGUUUGGAUAAGAUGGACAGCAUUUAUUGGGACUCUAUAUCAUUGGGCGGUAGAACUUGGAGGUUGGACCGUUGCGCUUUUAAUAAAUUAAUCUGUAAGCAGUUUUUUUUUUUUUUUUUUUAUUGGCUGAUAUAUUACAAUCAGAGCUCUACUAAUAUAAUCAGACGUCAAUCGGGUACUCUUCUCAAUAAUCAUAUUGUAGCACAGCUCGAAUAUCGACUCAUCGUUUAAAGCUGCAGGGAGAUCUACUAUCACUAUUAAUACCGGAGGGGAAUCAAUUCUACCCCAGUGUGGGGAGAAAAAAAACAACGUCCAAGUUCUCAAUAAUUUUAGUGUGAACAAAAGUUCAGUUCAUGACCAUGAAAUUAAUCGGAGUUGUUCCGAUGGUUACCGCAAGAAUGUUGACGUUUGAAGAAAGAGAGCUUGGGCAAAAUAAAUUAAUUUUAGGGUAACUUUGGGAUUUUGAUGAGCGUGUAUAGUAAAAAAUUAUAUUUUAAAUUUGACAGUGUAGUGAGUAAAUGAGUGUCUAAAAUAUUAUUUAGAGUAUAAAUAAUCUCACCUAAAAAAAUUAUUUACUUUAAUAAAGACACAAUAAUUUACGUGAUUCGACUUAAAAUCUAUAUUUACGAGCAAAAGCUAAAAAUAACUUCAUUAAUAAAUAAAAAUUUACCAAAUUAAGAAAAAAUACUCUCAAAACUCAAAAUCUCAAUAUAUCCAAUUAAACCAUUAGUAGAACACUCAAAGAAAAACUCUAUUCAAUUUCUCAAAUUACUCCCCUUAUAAUUACUUUCAACUUUCACACUUUAGGAUGAUCUUUAAAUGACAAACUGCCCCUCUGUCUAUGCCUCUAUGGGAGUGCGUGGCUCAACUAUUUCUCUCAAUUUUGGUAAUUUGUCAACUUGUUUAGUCCACCGAAUUCGGAACCCAAUCUUGUGCCGCCAUUUCUUAAAAAGCUCUCCAAAUGCAUUAAAGUGCCAAGUAUUUCAAUAACCAACUCUCUACAUUUGUUGGCAAUUUUCAAUGUAUUUAAUUCACUUUUUUUGACUUUUCAACACACAGGAUGUGGAGAAAAAUAAUUAUGUUUUCGUUCUAUUUUUUUCAAUAGUUAGUAUGAUAAUCAGCCAAAUAUAUACAACAUACCAUUCUAUAACUCUGAUACUUUGUAAUAUAUACCAAUCAAGCCCCAAGUCUAAGACUGUCUCAUAAAACUAUUAAAAUUUUUUAACCUAAUACUUCAACGCAUCACUAAAAGGUUUUUUAAAUUAGAUUUAUUACUUAUUAACGAGUCAUAUCGAUCAAUAAAUUUUAAAAGACUUUUUAAGUGAGUUUUUUUUUUAUUGAAGAGAGAGAAAAGUGCUAUCUCAUUUGAAGGGUUUUUUAAAAUCUUAAAUUUAUUCUACUUUUUCUCAUAAUUUCAUGAAGAGAAAGAAGUAUCAUAUUUGCUAUUGUUUUUGUAGAGAAAUUUUUUUAUUAAAAUAAUAUAUUUAUACUUUUAUUUAAAGAAUCUUUUAAUUUUUUUCCACUCUUUCAUUUACAAUAUAUAGUAAAUAAAUAUUUAAAAAAAUUAAAUUUAGAAGAAUAUUUUAGUGAUCUUCUUAGAUCUACUUAGUGUGUGUUUGGUAUAAUUUAUAUAAUGCUCAUAAGUAUUUAUUUAAUCUAAAAAAUUCUUAUCAUAAUUUUUAUUACUAUUUAUUUUUUUUAGAGAUUUUAUAGUUUAAAUAAGUUAUUUUAUUUCUACUAGUAAAAUCUCAAAUUAGGAGUAGAGAUUGAAAUUUUUUUAAAUAUUAAAAUAUCUAAAAUAUUCUCUACUUAUAUUAAACGGAGCCUUACCUCGCGAAUCGCGAUACCAUAACUAUUUUGAAGAAAUCGAAGAAUGGAAAGAAUUGAAAAGGCAAAACCGCGUUGUAAAGGAGGACAUGGAUCAACGUACCGAGGCCACUAAUGACAAAUAGCUACACCUUUUGAAGUAGACUCCCAGCGUCUACCUAACCUAAACGGGUACAGAGACCUUUUGUUUUUUUUUUACAAUAGGUACAGUUACGUAUGACUGAAGAAAUAAAAAAAAAAUGAAAAGCAUAGGGUAGAAGAAAACAAAGCUACCCAUUGGCUUCGUGUUGCAACUCUGCAACAGAAUGUCAAAUCGACAAUGAAAUUUCUUUGUCCAUUUUUCACGUGCAUAGCCAUAAAAAAGAAAAAAAAAUAUCAUAAUUGUAUGUAUAUGCUGGUGGGUCCCUUUUCAAAUUUGACAAGAGGAUUUUAAUUUCUUGUGAAAUUUGUGUUACUUCAAAUCAUUUUAUAGAAAUUAGGGAUGGCAAUGGGGAGGGGAGGGGAGGGGACCAAUCUCCCCGUAUCCAUCUCCGAUAUUUUGCGUAUCUCUGCGUCUUCUCCCCAUCCCCAUCAUAAUUACUUGAGAGAAUCUCAUUCUCCUCCCCGAAUAAUAACAUGGGGAUUCCCGAGGGUCCCCGAUCCCCGAAUAACUAAUACAUAUUUUUUAUUUUUUAUUUUUAGUUAAUUAUAUUAAAAUAAAAAUUCAAACAAAAGUAAAGUUCGAAAUAUAUUUUACAUUAACAUUGAUUCAUUAUAAAAGUCACAUGCAAAAUACAAAUUAUCAAAAUAAUUAUCUUUAUCAAUCUUCAUAAUCCUACAAUAAAAAGAAAAAGAAUUUACUUUUAUAUCAACAAUAAAAUAAAUGAAAUAAAUGUAGAUACUUAAUUAAUAUUUUUAAUAAAACAAAAUUAAAAUUAAAACAAAAUUUUUGGGCUAAUAGAAUCUACCCGACCUUUUUAAUUUCCUAAAUAAAAAUGUAAGACUUUCAUUAGUUAAUUAGGCCUAAAAGUUGAAUAAUAUAAAUAUUUUAAUAUUUGUUACUUUUACCAAUAUUUAUAAUUUUAUAAUAUAAUUCAAAUUUUAUUAUUUAUUUACUAGUAAUUUUAAAAAAUAAAAAUAAAAUUAAAAAUUAAAAUGGGGAAAUGUGGAGGGGAUGGGGAUUCCACCUCAUCCCCGCCCCUUCCCCGAAUAAGAAACUUGGUAAAAAAAUUUCCCCAUCCUUUCCCUGAAUAAGAAAUUGGGUAUAGAAUUAUCCUUGUACCCUCCCCAAAUGAAAAAAAUCCCCUAGAGUACCCGUCCCCGUGGGGAUUUUUACCAUCCCUAAAAUUCCAUUGGCUUCGUGUUGCAACUCUGCAAUAGAAUGUCAAAUCGACAAUGAAAUUUCUUUGUCCAUUUUUCACAUGCACAACCAUAAAAAAGAAAAAAAAAUAUCACAAUUGUAUGUAUAUGCUGGUGGGUCCCGUUUCAAAUUUGACAAGAGGAUUUUAAUUUCUUGUGGAAUUUGUGUUACUUCAAAUCAUUUUAUAGAAAUUAGGGAUGGCAAUGGGGAGGGGAGGGGAGGGGACCAAUCUCCCCGUACCCAUCCCCGAUAUUUUACGUAUGUCCCCGUCCCCUCCCCAUCCCCGUUAUAAUUGCUUGAGAGAAUCUCCAUCCCCUCCCCAAAUAAUAACAGGGGAUCCCCGAGGGUCCCCGAUCCCCGAAUAACUAAUAUAUAUAUAUUAUUUUUUAUUUUGAGUUAAUUAUAUUAAAAUAAAAAAGUCAAACAAAAGUAAAGUUCGAAAUAUAUUUUACAUUAACAUUGAUCCAUUAUAAAAGUCACAUGCAAAAUACAAAUUAUCAAAAUAAUUAUCUUUGUCAAUCAUCAUAAUCCUACAAUAAAAAGAAAAAGAAUUUACUUUUAUAUCGACAAUAAAAUAAAUGAAAUAAAUGUAGAUACUUAAUUAAUAUUUUUAAUAAAACAAAAUUAAAAUCAAAACAAAAUUUUUGGACUAAUAGAAUCUACCCGACCUUUUUAAUGUCCUAAAUAAAAAUUUAAGACUUUAAUUAGUUAAUUAGGCCUAAAAGUUUAAUAAUAUAAAUAUUUUAAUAUUUGUUACUUUACCAAUAUUUAUAAUUUUAUAAUAUAAUUCAAAUUUUAUUAUUUAUUUACUAGUUAUUUUAAAAAAUAAAAAUUAAAUUAAAUUUUAAAAUAAAAAUUAAAAUGGGGAAAUGAGGAGGGGAUGGGGAUUCCACCUCAUCCCCGCCCCUUCCCCGAAUAAGAAAUUGGGUAUAAAAUUAUCCCCGUACCCACCCCGAAUGGGAAAAAUCCCUGAGAGUACCCAUCCCCAAAUGGGAAAUUGGGUAUAGAAUUUAUUCUACUUUUUCUCAUAAUUUCAUGAAUAGAAAGAAGUAUCAUAUUUGCUAUUGUUUUUGUAGAGAAAUUUUUUUGAUUAAAAUAAUAUAUUUAUACUUUUAUUUAAAGAAUCUUUUAAUUUUUUUCCACUCUUUCAUUUACAAUAUAUAAAAGUAAAUAAAUAUUUAAAGAAUUAAAUUUAGAAGAAUAUUUAAGUGAUCCUCUUAGAUUUACUUAGUGUCUGUUUGGUAUAAUUUAUGUAAUGCUCAUAAGUAUUUAUUUAGUCUCAUAAAUUAUUAUCAUAAUUUUUGUUACUGUUUAUUUUUUUUAGAGAUUUUACAGUUUAAAUAAGUUAUUUUAUUUCUACUAGUAAAAUCUCAAAUUAGGAGUAGAGAUUGAAUUUUUUUUUAAAUAUUAAAAUAUCUAAAAUAUUCUCUACUUAUUUGAUAUUCUUUUCAUAACAUAACUUUAAAAACUUACCUAUUAAAAUAAUUUCAUAAAUUUUAAAUAAUUUUUUUUAUUAACAAUCAACAACUAAAAUUUUUUAAAUAAAAAUUUUAUUUAUAAAAAUUUUGUUAUCGAAAACUUUAUUUAAAAAAUUGUAUUAAACAGAGCCUUACCUCGCGAAUCGCGAUACCACAACUAUUUUGAAGAAAUCGAAGAAUGGAAAGAAUUGAAAAGGCAAAACUGUGUUGUAAAAGAGGACGUGGAUCAACGUACCGAGGCCACUAAUGACAAAUAGCUACACCUUUUGAAGUAGACUCCCAGCGUCUACCUAACCUAAACGGGUACAGGGACCUUUUGUUUUUUUUUUACAAUAGCUACAAUUACGUAUGACUGAAGAAAUAAAAAAAAAAUGAAAAGCAUAGGGUAGAAGAAAACAAAGCUACCCAUUGGCUUCGUGUUGCAACUCUGCAACAUAAUGUCAAAUCGACAAUGAAAUUUCUUUGUCAAUUUUUCAUGUGCACAGCCAUAAAAAAGAAAAAGAUAUAGCACAAUUGUAUGUAUAUGCUGGUGGGUCCCUUUUCAAUUUUGUCAAGAGGAUUUUAUUUUUUUGUGAAAUUUGUGUUACUUCAAAUCAUUUUAUAGAAAUUAGGGAUGGCAAUGGGGAGGGAAGGGAAGGGGAGGGGAGGGGAGGGGACCAACCUCUCCGUACAUAUCCCUGAUAUUUUGCGUAUGUCACCGUCCCCUCCCCAUCCUCAUCAUAAUUACUUGAGAGAAUCUCUUUUCUCUUCCCGAAUAAUAACAGGGGAUUCUCGAGGGUCUCCGAUCCCCGUAUAACUAAUAUAUUUUUUUUUAUUUUUAGUUAAUUAUAUUAAAAUAAAAAAUUUAAACAAAAGUAAAGUUCGAAAUAUAUUUUACAUUAACAUUGAUCCAUUAUAAAAGUCACAUGCAAAAUACAAAUUAUCAAAAUAAUUAUCUUUGUCAAUCUUCAUAAUCCUACAAUAAAAAGAAAAAGAAUUUACUUUUAUAUCGACAAUAAAAUAAAUGAAUUAAAUGUAGAUACUUAAUUAAUAUUUUUAAUAAAAUUAAAUUAAAAUUAAACCAAAAUUUUUGGGCUAAUAGAAUCCACCCGACCUUUUUAAUGUCUUAAAUAAAACUUUAAGACUUUAAUUAGUUAAUUAGGCCUAGAAGUUUAAUAAUAUAAAUAUUUUAAUAUUUGUUACUUUUACCAAUACUUAUAAUUUUAUAAUAUAAUUUAAAUUUUAUUAUUUAUUUACUAGUAAUUUUAAAAAAUAAAAUAAAAUUAAAAAUUAAAAUGGGGAAAUGGGGAGGGGAUGGGGAUUCCACCUCAUCCCCGCCCCUUUCCCGAAUAAGAAACUGGGUAAAAAAAAUUUUUCAUCCCUUCCCCGAAUAAGAAAUUGGGUAUAGAAUUAUCCUCGUACUCUCCCCGAAUGGGAAAAAUCCCCGAGAGUACCCAUCCCCGAAUGAGAAAUUGGGUAUAGAAUUUAUUCUACUUUUUCUCAUAAUUUCAUGAAGAGAAAUAAGUAUCAUAUUUGCUAUUGUUUUUGUCGAGAAAUUUUUUUGAUUAAAAUAAUAUAUUUAUACUUUUAUUUAAAGAAUCUUUUAAUUUUUUUUCCACUCUUUCAUUUACAAUAUAUAAAAGUAAAUAAAUAUUUAAAGAAUUAAAUUUAGAAGAAUAUUUUAGUGAUCCUCUUAGAUUUACUUAGUGUCUGUUUGGUAUAAUUUAUGUAAUGCUCAUAAGUAUUUAUUUAAUUUCAUAAAUUCUUAUCAUAAUUUUUGUUACUGUUUAUAUUUUUUAGAGAUUUUACAGUUUAAAUAAGUUAUUUUAUUUCUACUAGUAAAAUCUCAAAUUAGGAGUAGAGAUUGAAUUUUUUUUUAAAUAUUAAAAUAUCUAAAAUAUUCUCUACUUAUUUGACAUUCUUUUCAUAACAUAACUUAAAAAAUUACCUAUUAAAAUAAUUUCAUAAAUUUUUAAUAAAUUUUUUUAUUAACAAUCAACAACUAAAAUUUUUUAAGUAAAAAUUUUAUUUAUAAAAAUUUUGUUAUCGAAAACUUUAUUUAAAUAAAUUUUAUUUAAAAAAUUAUAUUAAACGGAGCCUUACCUCACGAAUCGCGAUACCACAACUAUUUUGAAGAAAUCGAAGAAUGGAAAGAAUUGAAAAGGCAAAACCGCAUUGUAAAAGAGGACGUGGAUCAAUGUACCGAUACCACUAAUGACAAAUAACUAUACAUUUUGAAGUAGACUCCCAGCGUCUACCUAACCUAAACGGGUACAGAGACCUUUUAUUUUUUUAAUUUCGCUAUAUUACGUUUAACAUAACGUACAUUCACACACAACAAAAAUUCCAAUAAUAAAAUUCACAACUGUUACUAUGUGUGACGUACGUUACGUAGCAGCAGCCUUGUUUUUUUUAACAAUAGGUGCAGAUACAUACGAAUGCAUUAAUUAAUGACAAGCAGAGGGUAGAAGAAAACAAAGCUACGUCGGCAGACACGUUGCAGUAGGGAUUCUGGAAUGCAUUAAUUAAGGGGCCUUAAGUAUUCAAUAGUCAAAGAAAUGAGGAGGCAGAGCGUAGAAGAAAACAAAGCCACGUCGCCAGACACGUUGCUGAAGGGAUUAUGGAAUGCAUUAAUUAAGGGGUCUUAAAUAUUAAGUAGUGACAUCCUUUUUGUGUUUUUCCAUAAGAAGAUGCUGGAAUGCAUUAAUUAAGAGGCCCACUGUGAUUAAUUCAUAACUACUAGUAAUUUGUUUGUAUUCGAGUUGCUCCUUUGUAUAACUAGACGUGAAAAUGAGUGAUUGGUGGGGCGGUGGAGUCGAGGGUGCUAAGAGCAACAAAAACAAAUUCUGAAGCAAUUGUUCUGACUCUUGAGUGCUUAUAUUUAUUUCAUUAAUCUCGGAAGAUAUGGCGUCUCAUAAGGUGCCUGGUAAUCGCAAAUUGAUAGGUUCUAAAUCAGAAUACUAUUUUAUGCUUUAUGCAGGUACUGAAGAAGUGAAGAGCUACGACCGGAUUGAUUUUGGUAUGUUUGGUCGGAGUUGGGCUCCCAUUGUUUCUUGGGCCGUGAUAGUUGUUCCCCACGAGCCGGAGAGUAAUUGGAGAAAAAAUUUACCUCCUCCAAGUGUCAAUAAUAUGGACCCCGCUAGCUCGCUUUGUGUUAUUGCAUCUGGUUCUUCUAAUGGUUAUAAGCCUAUAGGUGAUGAUAAAAAGGAUCGUCCUUUUCAUGGCGUUAGAACUACAGUUCCAUUGAACAAAUUGAAAUAUGAUCGUGAAGUGUUGCGCGGAGGUUCUCUUGUUUUGGAGAUUAAUCUUUUAGAGGUUUUUCACGGAGGAGAUGUUGUGGAUUCUGAUCAUACUUUUGAUGGUCAAGUGUUUUGGAACUUGUACUCGAAUUGAAUAUUGUACGGUGAGAUAAGUUGAUGUGUGUAUUAAUGGUAUUAUCUAAUAUAAACAUAGGAUUGGACAUAUAGUUGUGUCAAUGUAUUGUGUAAUUUAACUACCUCUAGAUAAUAUUAUCGUUUGUGUAAUGAUUGUAAUUGAUGUUUUGUUGGAGGAUCCUUUAGUAUGCUUAUAAAAAGGAUUCAAGUGUGUUGUAACGAGCAGAGCUCUUCUAAGUCUAGUCCAUAAAUAAAUAAAAGAGUUGACUAUAAUGUAAUAUUGUGGGGUCUUCUACUGUGUCUAUAAAAGGAUCCAAGUGUGUUGUAAUAUGAGUAGAGAUUCAUGAAUUUAGUCUAUAAAUAAAUUAAACAAGUGUUUUAUAUAGUCCUUUUAUGAACAUGUAUGGUCUCAUUUCCUUCAUAAAGCAAUGUAUAGCCGUUGUGACAAAAUCUUAUUACUCAAGUUUACUCAUGAAUCCUUUACACAAAUGUUACAAAUGUAUAAUAACAAAAUUGAAAAGUCAUUUUCACACGUUACAAAUAUAUACUAACAAAAUUGAAAUAACAUUAUUACAAAUUAGAACAAUAUGUAAUAACAAAAAAUAAAUAAAUAAACUCGAGGCUUGUAAAGUUAAUAGUUUAUUUAAAACAAAUUAGAACAAUAUGUUUUAUAUAUUACUGGUGAAGAUGAAGAAGAGAUUCGAAUAACAAGAAAUAACUUAUUAGUUCGCUUCCAGAUGAAAAAGCUUGGUCAGCUUAAGCACUUCCUUGGUCUAGAAGUUAUCGAAUAGAAGAAGGGAUAUUUCUUUACCAACAAAAUUAUGCCAAAGACUUGCUGAAGAAGUUUGAAAUGAUGGAAUGAAAACUAAUCUCAACUCCAUUGGAAGUAAAUGCAAAAUUGUGCACACACGAAGGUAGAGAUUUACAAUAUAGAACAAUGUAUCAACAAUUGGUAGGUAGUUUAAUCUACCUUAUGCUGAAUCAACCGAAUAUUUCAUAUGUCGUAGGUGUCAUGAGUUGGUAAAUGCAAAAUCCAAAGAAGCUUCACUUGGAAGUAGUUAUGUGAAUACUAAGAUAUGUGAAGAGUACAAACAAUUAUGGUUCAUUGUGCAAGAAAGAUGAAAUUACAAGCUGACUAGCUAUUGUGACGCUGACUACGCCGGAGAUCAUGAUACAAAAAGAUUAACUACUAGGUAUGUUUUCAGAAUUAGGUCUGGAGUAGUUUUUUAGUGUAGUAAGAGACAACCAACUGUAUCACUAUCAACCACAGAGGUAGAGUAUAAAACAACAAUGAUGACAUCUCAAAAAAGCACUUGGUUGAUGUAGUUGAUCAAGGAUCUACACCAACUAGUAGAUUAUGUAUGCAAUACCACUGUAUUGCGAUAAUCAAUCGAUAAUCAACUUGGGAGAAAAUCUAGUUUUCCAUGCAAGAACUAAGCAUGUAGAGGUCCAUUAUCACUUCAUCAGGGAAAAUGUCUUACAAGAUAAAGUUGAGAUGCGGUACGUCAAGACAAACAAUUAAGUUACGGAUUUUUUUUUUUAUAAAAAGUCUUUGUACCAUGAAGUUUAAAAAGUUUCGUCAGCAGCUCAAUAUGGAUCGAAUGAUGAAACUUGGUUUUGAGGGGGAGUGUUAAAAGUGCAACACCAAUUUUAUGAUCCAAUUAAAUAACAUUUGUCCAAAUCCAAGUUCAUAACUCAAUCCAUAGAAGACUUAAGAAUUGUGUAGAGAACAUGGGACAUUUCUAAUCUAAAAAUAUUUAAUGAUGAUGAAAAUAUCUUAUUUUAGAAAUCUCUUGAACGGUGAUAUUUAUAAAAUGUGAUUGUUAAAUUUUUAUAAUUUAAUGUUUUGUGUGGUUUGUAUUAGUUUUAGGAUACUAUAAAUACCGCUAAACUCUUUGUUGUAGGCAUCAAGAGAGGAGUGAAGAAUUAGUAGGAAGAAAGAAGAGUGAGCCGUGAGUAUCGUAGUGUUUUUCUUAUAAAAUAUCAAUAAAAUCCUUUAAUUUAGUAAAAUUCUUCUAUUUCUUAAAUAUUUUCAGUCUUAAGCAGCUUCGUCCUUCUUUCUCAACAAAAGCAUUCCAUUUAGUAUAUGAAAAGAAAGUUGUGAGUUUGUGAAGAGAGAAUAAUUAGAAUAUCUUUUGCAAUUGUUAUUUUCCCAAUUUUAAGUAACAGAGUUGCUUUCUCCUAGUAUAAGAGAGAUUGUAAUUGUUCUAUCCUUGUAUUCAAAGAAAAUUGUUAUAAUCCUCAUUUGAAUAGUGAAUUCUUUCUACUUUUGUUGUGGAUUUUUAACCCGGUUUAUUUGGAAUUUUUUCCACUUAAAAUUUGUGUGUCCCAUAUAUCUUCAUUUGUUCUUAAUAUCACUUUGGUUUCGGUCUGAUACGGUCCUUAAUUUCCUAAUAGAAAACAACCGAAACCAUCCAAUAACGAGAGUGAUCUCUGAAAGCUCCAUUGCAGAACAUGGAUAACCGCUGCUUCGGCCAUCUGUAUUAACUUUUACCCAGCCAUGCACUAUCGGGCAAAUUUUAGCAAAAUAUUGAAAAUGAGAGGUAUAACCAACUUGUAUUAGAUGAAAGGAGGAUGGGGUGUUUUCAUAUCGUAGCUCUGUCACGGCAUCGAUGUGAAGAAGAUGAGUUGGUCAUGUCUAAUUAACAAAAAAAAAAAAAAUCCUUUCUGCUAAUCCCAAUUUCAAAGCUUUCUUGUGUCGGACUUUAAUUCUAACUUUGUAAUAUCACACUUUCAAUGGUUAUUUUACCUUUAUAUUCACUAUUGACUUAUAGGGGUGAAAUGAAUAAUUAAAACUCUAUUAUGGAUAUAAAUAACAAAAAAGAAAUUUAUGUGUCGCGGAACUGGUACUCAUAUGAAAAUAACAUUUGACAAUAUCGAACCAUUGGAGCACUAAAUAAAUUAUAGCAUUAUAUAAAAGGGGAUUUGAAUACAUGCUCAUGUUAUGCCCUACGGACUUUCUUUUGUAUUUGUUGGCAAAAAUUUGCAGAUCGUAGAUAUUUGCCCCUAAGGUAACAAAACUGCAAAAGCAUUUCGUGGGUAACAAGUAGUCGGGCUUUUAUCUAGAAUAUCUUUAUUCUUCCAUACCAAUAAAUCACUUAGAUUUUAUGGGCUACGGAUGGAAAUUGUUAAAUUCAUUAUUUAUAGAGUUUGUAUUUUAUGGCAAGUCUAGUUAAAUUAGAAUUUUAUUUAUUGUAUAUUUUGUAAUAGUGAUUAAUUUAUUAAUUCCCUAAUUUAGUGAGAUUUCAAUUUAUUAAGAAUAUUUAUUUCCUAAUUUAAUUAGAUGGCUAACUUAAAAAGUCAAUUAAUGAUGUGAUUCUAUAAUUGGCGCAUGAGCUCUAUUUUGAGUAUGAAGUCAGUUCAAACAUGAAGUUUAUUAAAUGAUUUAGAUAUUUCUUGGAAGACAAGCAAUGUAAGAAAAUUAGAUUUAUUCCUAUUCAGAUUCAUAGGAAUUAUAAAAGAAAAUAAACUCUUAUUUGGAAAGAAUCAAAAUCUUUUAAGAGUUAUUAUUUUUGUGAAAUCCUAGUGCCUAUAUAAAGAGAGGUAUUUCACAAUUGAAGGUGUGCAACACGGAGCAUAAAGCAGGGACGCAAAAUUCGGCAUUCUCCCUAAAGAAUCCUAAUUUGGCACAUAAUAUUGUGUUGAUUUAUUUACUUAUCUUCUUUUCAUAUUUGUGUAGAGUCUAUGUGAAUUUUGGAUCACUAGACAUUAAAAAAUUAAAUAAUUGUUAUUGAUCACUUUGCGAAGUGCGUUAAGUAUCGUGGAUCAAGAGGGGUAGUAAUUAUUUAAGAAAAGCAAAUUCAGUCUGUACAAUGAUAAACUGUAAAUGAGAGUUUUAAGUUUGAUAAAUCUAUGGUUGUAACAUCUCAACUUAGUGAAUUACUUUUCAUCUGAGCUUGACCUCGUGGAUGUAGAAUUAAUUAAUCUGAAUCACGUAAAAAUCUCCGUACCAUUUAAUUUCUGUAAUUUAUUGUAUUUUUGAAAAAUUAAUAUUUUGAUGCGGAUAAACAAUAACCGUAAACAUUAACUAUAAACAAUAAGCGUAAACAAUAAUGAUGAAUAGUAAUGGUAAACAAUAUUUCCGAAAGUUAAUUAAGUUGUUAAUUUUAAAUUUUUAAUUACCUACAUCUAAAUUGCCUACAUUUAGUGCAAUUUUGAAAGGUAUUAAAUUGGCAGCGGACUUGGGGUUUCUUCCGCUACUGAUAGAGUCCGAUUCAGUUAAUGUCAUUAGUCUCAUCUCAGGAAAAAUUAACAGCCAAUUAGAGAUUGAUUGGCUAAUAUCUGAUAUUAAAAGUUUUAUUUGUAAGAAAAGUGUUUGCUAUAAGACACAUUCCCAGAUCCGGUAAUUCAGCAGCUCACAAAGCUGCAAAAAUGGCUCUUGAUCAUGCUGAGUCGCGCACAUGGUUACAGGAUGCGCCUCCUGACAUUGUACCUCUCUUGUAAUGUUAUGGUGUAAUCAAUGAAAAUUUUAUUGUAAAAAAAAAAAUCCUUUCAGAAAUUAAUAUAUACUAUUUUAAUGUGGAAAAUCCCUUCAGAAUUAGUUCGAUAAAUACAAUAUUCAUCCAGUUACCGCAGGCUAAUAAUGCUCAUCCUGGAUAACUCAUGUCGCUUUUUACAUAUGCUGUAAUCUAAUUGGUGUGAUUAUCUUUGUAGCCCUACCUUCUCACUUGGCCAGAAUCGAGGUUAUAUAUGGUCAUGCAAUUAUACAUGAAAAAAGAAUAUCUUUCCAGUAGUUCAUUUUCCCUUUCACAUAGAGCGUACUGAGGAUAUAUAUAUCGGAAACCUGAGAAAACUAAUGAGAUAUUUGAAGGUUAAAGGGGAAGCCGGCUCCGUUAUUAAAAGCAAACUUCUUUAUUUAUUUAUAGACUAGAGUCAAGGAGCUUCACCCGUUACACACUUGAAUCCUUUUUCUAGGCACCAUAAAGGAUCCCAACAAUUAUACAUUACAAGUCAUUACCUUUAUUUAUAGACCAGACACAAGGCGCUCUGCCCAUACAACAUACUUGGAACAUUUUUAAAGGCACACUAAAAGACCAUCCACAACAAAACAUUGAUUCGAUCAUUACACUGGAGGUCGCCUUUUCAUCGGAAAUUGAGAUUUACCUUACCAAGAGGUAAUAUCAACGUUACACAAAACAUGACAUAUAACAAUGUCUAAUCUUAUAUCUAGAUUAGAUUACACAGUACACACCAGCUUAAUUAUCUUACAGUAGUAUUCAAUUGGAAUACAAAUGCCAAUACACUUUACCAUCAAAAGUAUGAUCAGAAUCCAGAACAUUUCCAUGAGGUACCUCUAUAAGAUUAAUCUGCAAAACAAGAGAACCUCCUUCCUGCACAUGACGAUCUUUAUACAGUUCAUCUAAUUGAACCAUAGUUCUAAGGCCAUGAAUAGGACGAUUUUUAUCAAUAGGCCUAUAACCAUUAGUAUAACCAGAUGCAACAACAUCAAAAGAUACUUCAGCAUCCAUAUUAUUGGCGGCUGCAGGAGGCAGAUCUCCUCUCCAAGCAUCCUCGUUAGCUCUGGGAACAAAUAGGACGGCCCAGGAAACAAUAGGAGCCCAACUUCGACCAAACAAACCAAAAUCCAUCCUAUUCAAGUCCUUCAAAACACCAGGAUCUGCAUAACGCAGAAAAAAGUAGUCUGAUUUAAAACCUAUCAAUUUUCGCUGAUCACACGCCAUAUCUUCCGUGAUUAAUGAAAAAUAAGCGCUCAGAAUCAGAUCACUUGCCUCAGAAAUUAUUUUCGUUGCUCUGUCACUCUUUUUUCUGCUGCCGUCCAAAGACAUUUUCACGUCUAUUUAUGCAAGGGAGGAAUUCGAACACAAACAAAUCACAAAUAAUUAUUAAUUAAUUAUAAUAGGACUCUUAAUUAAUGCAUUCCAGCAUCUCCUUCUGCAACGUGUCUGGCGACGUGGUUUUGUCUUCGUCUGUGCUCCGCCUUUCAUUUCUUGGAUAUCUUCAUCAUAGGUAUUAGAGCCAAGUUAAGGUUAGGUAGAUGAUACAAGUCCUCUUCAAAAGGAUUUUGCUAGUAUUAGAGCCUAGUAAUGUAAGAUAUAAUCUCUCGUAAAAUUGUGGGCCUAAGUGGAACCUAUAACUAAAUUUGUAUGAGACUGUACCUUACAUUACACGCUUCCUUUAACAAUUGACACAUGUUAAUUAAUGCAUUCCAGCAUCUCCUUCUGCAACGUGUCUGGCGACGUGGUUUUGUCUUCGUCUGUGCUCCGCCUUUCAUUUCUUGGAUAUCUUCAUCAUAGGUGUUAGAGCCAAGUUAAGGUUAGGUAGAUGAUACAAGUCCUCUUCAAAAUAGCUCUCUGUCACAAGUGGUUCCGGUACGUAGAUCCACGUCUUCUUUUGCAGCGUGGUUUGGCCUUUUCAGUUCUUCUCAUUCUUUGAUUUCUUCGAAUAGUUAUCUACAUCGUGUUUACAGGUUGGGUAAGACUAAGGAUUGGGUUCGCACAGUUCUAAUAUUUUGAUUGGACCAUCCUGCAUCUAUCUCUUAUUUAGUUUAGCAUGACUUAUUUAACAUCAUAAAUAUUUAUUUAAUUUUAUAAUUUUUUAAAUAUUAAAUAAAUUAUUUUUUUAUUAGUAAAAUUUUAAAUUUUGAGUUUUUGAAAAUAGAUUGAAAAAUAUUUUUAAACUAUUAAAAUAUUAUUUAUUUAUUUAAUUAUUUUAUUUCAUUUACUUUAUAACAUAAAUUUAAAAAAAUUACCUAUUAAAAAAAUUUAUAAUUUCUUAAUAAAAACUCUUAUUGAUAGUCAAAUACCUUAAAGUUUUAGUAAAAGUUUGCUUGUAAAAGAUUUAUUAACAAAAGUUAUGCCGAAAUAAGUUUUAUUUGAAAAAUUAUAUCAAGGCUUGAUUUGGUAUCAAAAGAAAAUUAUCAUACACUUAUAUUUUUAUAUUAUCAUUUAAAACUGAAGAGAAGAGUAAAGAAAGAUCAAACCAGAGUGAAGAAGGGUUAACAUAAAAUGAAAGAAAAGCCUCGGGCAUUAUACUAUGAUUUGGGAGAAUGAUGCGUUAUUUAGUUUUGGUGGGUGUAAAAGGAAAACGAAGCUUAAUAAUAUGAGCUUAAAACUCAAUUAAAAUGAGUUUAAUGAAGGGUGGUUUUAGCAUUUUAAAGUGCGAUCAUAGUUAAUUUUAAUUUUUGUAAUUUAUUGAAUAAACUAUUUGCAAUGAAUUAAGAAAAGUAAUCAAUAAUUAUAACAAUAAAAGUAAUUAUUAUUGAAACGACCCACCUCGAACUUCAAGAGCAAAUCUAUCUAAUUUCUUUUAACGUGAUUAGUAAAACGUAUUUGCUAAAAUUUUCCAACAUGCAAAUCUGCAAAACAAACACUUUCAAAAUAAUUCAAUACACAACAAAAUUCAUUGAUCAACCUUCUCAACCAUGAUAUUGAAUAUCACCUAAACACUUAUAAAGUAUCAAAAGAUUAUAUUAUAGCUAAUGUCAACAUAUAUUAAACAUUCAUAAGCAUCAAAUCAUAAUACAAUUAUACAAUCCAAAAUGAGAUGAUCUAAAUGCCCUAAUAAUAUCAUUUAUAUCUUUUAGCACCAUCACGUGGCCAAAAUUCAAAAAUACUACAGUCGUUGGGUCGAUUAAUGUAUCCACAACCUUCUGUGGGGGAAAAGUAUAGUAAAAUGGGAUGAAUAUAAAACUCAAUGAGUGAAUAAUAACUUUUGAAAAUAAUAUAUUUUAAAAUAUUUAUAUAUUUUCAAUAUACUAUUUUCAUCAAACUAUAAGUAAGAACAUAGAUGAAUUAUUCGAACUUUAAAUCAAACAACUGUCGUUUUAAUUUUAAAGUGUGAUCGUAGUAAAUUUUUAUUUUGUUAAUUUAUUGAAUAAACUAUGUACAAUCAAUUAAGAAAAAUAAUCAAUAACUAUAACAAUGAAAGUAUUGAUUACUGCAACGACCCACCUCAAACUUUGAGGGCAAGUCUAUCUAAUUUCUUCUAACGUGAUUAGUAAAACUUAUUAAUGAGGAUUUUGCUAAAAGUUCAUCGACAGAGUCUCCCCCUAUAUUUAUAAAAUUUCUAACAUGCAAAUCUAAACACUCCCAAAAUAAUUCAAUACACAACUUGAAAUACUAACUAGGCAACCCAAGAGGGGGGGUGAAUUGAGAUUUUAUAAAUUAAGUUAAGCAAACACACAACAAUUCAAUCUAAUGCCUCAAUAAAUUCGAAAACAAUAAAUUCAAUGAAAGCACAAUAAUAAAUGAGCAAGGGAAGAGAAAGCAAACUCAAUGAUUUUUACGUGGUUCGGCAAUCCCCGCCUACGUCCACGCCUCUUAGCAUUUUCAUUUUUGAGCUCUACCAUUUUCUUUUUAAGACAUGCAUUCUUUUUACCAAUUUUCAUACACUCAUCAUGCAAUUCUUUAAAAGUAUCAUGUAAUUCAUCAUAAGUAGGAAGAUCAUUUACCUAAUCAAGUUCAUCAUUCGAUUCAUCUCCAAUUGCCAUAAGAGCUAGAUUUGUCAUUUCUUGAUGCUCUUCAUCAUCACUUGUUUCCUCCUCGCUAUCAUCCCAUGUGGCUACCAUCGCUUUCUUCUUGAGCUUGUUGAGAAGAGGGCAUUCCGAUCUUAUAUGGCCAGGUUUCUUGCACUCAUAACAUUUGAUUACUUCAUUCUUCUCCUUUUGGUUCUUGAGGUCUCUAAAUUUUCUUCGCUCACUGGAUUUCUUAAAAAAAUUUCUAAACUUCCUAGCCAGCAUAUCCAUCUCCUCCUCAUCCAGCUCGCUUUCCUCAUCACUCUCAUAUUUCGAGGCUUUGAGAGCAAUACUUUUCUUCUUCUCCUCAUUGCCUUUUUCGGCUGCCAAGUCUUCCUCAUAAGAAAUAAGAGAACCAACUAAAUCAUCAAUAGGUAAGAUAUUUAAAUCUUUGGCUUCCUCAAUGGCAGUCCUUUUUUGUCUCCAUUCCUUACAUAGCGACCUAAUAAUUUUCUUAACUUUCUCGCUAUUUGAAAAAGUCUUUCCUAUGGCUCCUAGAGUGUUCACUAUGUCCGUAAAUCUAGUAUACAUAUAAUACACACUCUCAUUUUGUUCCAUUUGGAACAAUUCAUAUUGUCGAGUGUACCUACUAAUUUUAGACUCUUUCACUUGAUUCGUGCCUUCAUAAACAACUUCAAGUUUGUGCCAAAUUUCAUUAGCACUCUCACAACUAGAUACUCUAUGAAAUUCUUUCUUAUCUAGUGCACAAAACAAGGCAUUCAUAGCUUUGGAAUUUAGAGUAGCUUUUCUCUUUUCUAAUUCAUUCCAUUCCCGUGAAGGUUUUGGAAUAUCUUCCCCGACUUCAUUUUUAGUCAAAGGCAUAAAAAGACCAUCACAAACAACUUCCCAAAUUUCAUAAUCAAGUGCUUGUAAAUAAAUUCUCAUCAUAGUUUUCCAAUACGGGUAGUCAUUUCCGUCAAAGAACGGUGGUUUAAUUGUGGACUGUCAUUCUCUAAAGGUUGAGUCAUUAUGGGUUGCCAUAGAUCUUUAACUCUAGACGGUUAAGUCUAAACAAGAGCACCUCGCUCUGAUACCAAAUGAAAUACUAACUAGGCAACCCAAGAGGGGGGUGAAUUGGGAUUUUAUAAAUUAAGCUAAAAAAACACACAACAAUCCAAUCUAAUGCCUUAAUAAAUUCGAAAACAAUAAAUUCAAUGAAAGCACAAUAAUAAAUGAGUAAGGGAAGAGAAAGCAAACUCAAUGAUUUUUACGUGGUUCGGCAAUCCCCGCCUACGUCCACGCCUCCAAGCACACCGGGUUUGAGGAUUUCACUAUUCGAGCCUUUCCAAUGCUUCAAUCGUUUACAAUUGACUUCAAGGUGUCAAUGAACCUUUAAAACAAGAGAUUAUCUCUCCAAUCUCUUCACCCCAAGUGUUUCUCACACUUGUACACUCACAAUUUGAUGAGAAAUAAAAAUUACAACAAUGAAACUCUCUUUAAGAGUGGAUAUACAAAUUGAAGAACAAAGAUGAUUUAAUAAAUGAUGAUUUACGAAAUUGAAGCUCAAUAUAUGUUGUGUGCACUUGUUUUUGCUUGCCAAGAUUACCAAAAAUGAAUUGGUUUUGAGUUUAUAUAGUUUGAGCUCAAAAACUAGUCGUUAUGCACUUUUUGGUCAUAACCGGCUUAUUGUUUAUGGAAUCCGGUUAGCCGCUUGUAUGUUACCGUUACAGCCAAAAUUUAAAUUUUUGAACAUCCAGUAUGCCGCUUAUAAAAUCCGGAUAGCCGUUUAUGCUCUAGAAGCUUACUGCCCAACAACCAUAUUACCGUUUGUCAGGAUCCGGUUAGCCGCUUUCAAUUCGGAUAGAUUCUGCCCAACAUCCGGCUUAUCGGUUUUUCACAUCCGGUUAGCCGCUUGCUACAGUGACUGCUACAGUGAACUAUUUUAUAAAAUUAUAGUUUAACCCCAAAACUUUCCAUAACUGUACUAGGGCCCAACACGUUAUAAAUUUGGCAAAUAGGUCCAAUUUCAGAAUCUCUAAAUAAUAUUUACUAUUCUCAAAACUUUUUAAAAUUAUGAUAUGGCCCAAAAUAAUAUGAAACUGUUCAAAUAAGUCCUUUUCUAAAAUUUCAAGUAAUACUUGUUGAUUUCAAAGUUUUUAAAAUUCUUUCAAUUAAACCAUAAACUUGAAAAGCAACCAAUUUCAUAAAAUCAUUUUUCUAUUAAAUAUGAAACCUUUAUAAUGAGAAAAUAAUGAUUUAUUUAAAAAGUAUAAAAAAUAAUUUGAACUUAAAAGAUUAAUCAUUCUUAAUCUUGUUUGUUAUCAUCAAAAUCAACAUUAUGGAAACAUAUAUGUUAACAAUCUCCUCAUUUUUUAUGAUGACAAACAUUUCAUGUAUUUAAAGAAUGAUUCCGCAAAUUGCUCCCCUAAAUAUAAUCUUCUCUUACAAUUUGCCAAUUAGCUAAAUUAACAGAUUUAAAUAUAUGGAUUUUUCUCCCCCUUUAUCAUUAAAAAGAAAACUUAAUUGGCAAAGAAAAAGAGUAGUAAAUUUUUAUAAAUUUAAAAAUAUGUAUUAUUCUCCCCCUUCAUCAUCAAAAAGAAAACUUAAAGGAAAAGAAUAAGAGUAGCAAAUUUAUUACUCAUGUUUGUCCAAGUAGAAAUUUCAACACAUUCUCCCCCUAACAACAAGCAUUACCUUAAAUAUAAGUUUAGUAAUAUUACUCCCAAAUUAUUAUAAAUCAUGAUACAAGCCAACUCCAUACACAAAUCAUCACACCAAAAUAUCAUGAACCAUUAUUCCAUUAAUUACCAUAUAAAACAACUAUGUAAUUAAUCAUCAUUAUCUCAAAAUCAUUAUCAUAAUCAAAUAUCAAUCAUUAAAAGAAUACUCAAAGUGUAUAUUAUUCUCCUCAUUUUAACAACAUCGAAAUGAUAUAUUACUUUGUCUCCCCCUUUGGACAAUAAAAAAGUUCAAAAUGCAUAUUAUUCAAAAUCAUAUUAUAUGAUCCCCCUAAAUAUAUGACCAAUUUAAAAUUUUAACCAAAAUAAUUUUAUCCCAAAACAUAUCAUAUUUGUCUCCCCCUAUCAAUCAUCAAAACCUCAAAUCAAGCACAUUAGUUCAAAAUUAUCCAAAACAUAAGUAAAGAACAUAACAUAUAACUAUAUCAAAUCCAUAUAAUUCAAAACAGACACAUAAUCCAAAAUCAUAGCAAACAUCCAUAUAAUCCAAAUGCAAAAUAAAAGAAAAAUAAAAUAGUAAAUGUUGGUGUGUUCAAAUACAAGUAUAAAGGAUUUGAAGUGAAAAAUGAUGAGAUUGAUGGAUUUUAGAGAGAUCUUGCGUGAGAGAGGAAGCGAUUUUUAGUGAGAGAGUAACCGAUUGACUGAAUGAAGGAGAAGAGGAUGAACAAAAUUUGAAUGCCCGAAUUUGGCUUACCGGAUUUCACUAACCGGUUAGCCAGUUGGGGUCCAGUGAGUGUACAACCUGAAUUCGGGUUUCCGGUUUACAUAACCGGUAAUUCGGUUAACUCCUGUGAUGAAUGGUCACGAAUCCGGUUAUCCGGAUAUUCCUAACAUGUUAAUCGGUUGGAGGCAGCAAGUAAGCAACGCGAAUCCGGUUUGCCGGAUCUCAUAACCAGCUAUCCGAUUGUGUCCAACAAGCAUCAAACUAAAUCCGAUUUUCCGGAUUUCAUAACCGGUUGACCGAUUCUUUCCAGAAACCAAAUUCUCUUCAAACGAGUUAUUGGUUUUCCAAUCCGGUUAUCCGAAAUAUGACUUAGAGAAUAAUCAAUAAAAAGGAUGGUUUUCCGGUUGAUUAAAAGAGGUUUAUCGGUUAAAAUAUAGAGAAUAUUUUUGAAGUUUAGUAAACUCUUAGACUUGUAUUACACACACCAAUUUAUUUUUAGCUUAAAAAUUGAUCAAUUUUUGAAUCAUUUUGAGAUUCAAAAUUUUUCAAUAAGUCAUUUAAUGCAUGAGACAUAAAUGUAUACAAGACCAAACAUAUGAAAUCGUAUCAAACAAUGAUGUCAAUUUUAUAAAUGAAUGAUGAUAUAAACACAAUUAAUGGCAUAUGAAUUCACACAUAUAUAAGAGAUGGACAAUGAUGAUAGACAAUUAAGAAGAUGAAAUCAAAGACCAUACAAUCAUCAAAAUCAAACAAAGACAUCAUGAUAAAUCACUCAAUGUUAUACACAAUGAUAAUUCCAUCAUGUAAACAUACAAGCAUACUUUCGCAAAUUCAUUUAACAUGAUUCAUUCAACAAAAUUAAUAUGGCAAGAAUUGUUACCAAAACAAUUAAAUCAUCUUGCCUCAUCUUUUUCUCCUAGAUCAUACUCAAGUGAUUAUCCUCACAAGCUUUCAUCAAGGAACUUCUCCACCAUUCCUUGAUUGUGGUACCUACAAAGAAAACAUUCACGUUGUGCCCUUUGGUACCCAAAUACUCUUGGGUCCUUGAGUGUUAGCAAUGGUUCCUUUUGGAACCCAAACACAUUUUACUCCAUAAUAUACUUUUCUUUUAAUAGGACAACCAAGCUUCAUGUGACCGUUUUGAUUACAAUAAUGACAUACAACUUGAUUGUUAAUAGAUGUACUCUUCACAAAGUAGUUCUUAUAAUACUUUUGUUUCAAAUUUGGCUUAUAACCAAGUUCUCCUUUAUCAAACACACAUUUUUGUGAAUUAAUCAAGUUAUCCAACAUCUUUUGUCCAUUUGUAAAUUUUAAAACAAUCUCAUUUAACUCAUUGCUCUUCUUCUUAAGCAUUUCAUUUUCCUUUUUCAAGUCAUCUAUGUGAUAUUCUAUAUGCUCAUGUGAAGUGCUAGGUUUCCCAUUUGAUAAUGCAACUCUAUCAUGCAAUGUUUUAUUCUCUAAUUCUAGGCAUGUAAUCUUUGCACAUAGAGAUUCAUUUUCAUUUUUGAGCUCUACCAUUUUCUUUUUAAGACAUGCAUUCUUUUUACCAAUUUUCAUCCACUCAUCAUGCAAUUCUUUAAAAGCAUCAUGUAAUUCAUCAUAAGUAGGAAAAUCAUUUACCUCAUCAAGUUCAUCAUCCGAUUCAUCUCCAAUUGCCAUAAGAGCUAGAUUUGUCAUUUCUUGAUGCUCUUCAUCAUCACUUGUUUCCUCCUCGCUAUCAUCCCAUGUGGCUACCAUCGCUUUCUUCUUGAGCUUGUUGAGAAGAGGGCAUUCCGAUCUUAUAUGGCCAGGUUUCUUGCACUCAUAACAUUUGAUUACUUCAUUCUUCUCCUUUUGGUUCUUGAGGUCUCUAAAUUUUCUUCGCUCACUAGAUUUCUUAAAAAAAUUUCUAAACUUCCUAUCCAGCAUAUCCAUCUCCUCCUCAUCCAGCUCGCUUUCCUCAUCACUCUCAUAUUUCGAGGCUUUGAGAGCAAUACUUUUCUUCUUCUCCUCAUUGCCUUUUUCGGCUGCCAAGUCUUCCUCAUAAGAAAUAAGAGAACCAACUAAAUCAUCAAUAGGUAAGAUAUUUAAAUCUUUGGCUUCCUCAAUGGCAGUCCUUUUUUGUCUCCAUUCCUUACAUAGCGACCUAAUAAUUUUCUUAACUUUCUCGCUAUUUGAAAAAGUCUUUCCUAUGGCUCCUAGAGUGUUCACUAUGUCCGUAAAUCUAGUAUACAUAUAAUACACACUCUCAUUUUGUUCCAUUUGGAACAAUUCAUAUUGUCGAGUGUACCUACUAAUUUUAGACUCUUUCACUUGAUUCGUGCCUUCAUAAACAACUUCAAGUUUGUGCCAAAUUUCAUUAGCACUCUCACAACUAGAUACUCUAUGAAAUUCUUUCUUAUCUAGUGCACAAAACAAGGCAUUCAUAGCUUUGGAAUUUAGAGUAGCUUUUCUCUUUUCUAAUUCAUUCCAUUCCCGUGAAGGUUUUGGAAUAUCUUCCCCGACUUCAUUUUUAGUCAAAGGCAUAAAAAGACCAUCACAAACAACUUCCCAAAUUUCAUAAUCAAGUGCUUGUAAAUAAAUUCUCAUCAUAGUUUUCCAAUACGGGUAGUCAUUUCCGUCAAAGAACGGUGGUUUAAUUGUGGACUGUCAUUCUCUAAAGGUUGAGUCAUUAUGGGUUGCCAUAGAUCUUUAACUCUAGACGGUUAAGUCUAAACAAGAGCACCUCGCUCUGAUACCAAAUGAAAUACUAACUAGGCAACCCAAGAGGGGGGUGAAUUGGGAUUUUAUAAAUUAAGCUAAAAAAACACACAACAAUCCAAUCUAAUGCCUUAAUAAAUUCGAAAACAAUAAAUUCAAUGAAAGCACAAUAAUAAAUGAGUAAGGGAAGAGAAAGCAAACUCAAUGAUUUUUACGUGGUUCGGCAAUCCCCGCCUACGUCCACGCCUCCAAGCACACCGGGUUUGAGGAUUUCACUAUUCGAGCCUUUCCAAUGCUUCAAUCGUUUACAAUUGACUUCAAGGUGUCAAUGAACCUUUAAAACAAGAGAUUAUCUCUCCAAUUUCUUCACCCCAAGUGUUUCUCACACUUGUACACUCACAAUUUGAUGAGAAAUAAAAAUUACAACAAUGAAACUCUCUUUAAGAGUGGAUAUACAAAUUGAAGAACAAAGAUGAUUUAAUAAAUGAUGAUUUACGAAAUUGAAGCUCAAUAUAUGUUGUGUGCACUUGUUUUUGCUUGCCAAGAUUACCAAAAAUGAAUUGGUUUUGAGUUUAUAUAGUUUGAGCUCAAAAACUAGUCGUUAUGCACUUUUUGGUCAUAACCGGCUUACUGUUUAUGAAAUCCGGUUAGCCGCUUGUAUGUUACUGUUACAACCAAAAUUUGAAUUUUUGAACAUCCGGUAUGCCGCUUAUGAAAUCCGGAUAGCCGUUUAUGCUCCAGAAGCUUACUGCCCAACAAUCGGAUUACCGUUUGUCAGGAUCCGGUUAGCCGCUUUCAAUUUGGAUAGAUUCUGCCCAACAUCCGGCUUACCGGUUUUUCACAUCCGGUUCGCCACUUGCUACAGUGACUGCUACAGUGAACUAUUUUAUAAAAUUAUAGUUUAGCCCCAAAACUUUUCAUAACUAUACUAGGGCCCAAAACGUUAUACAUUUGACAAAUAAGUCCAAUUUCAGAAUCUCUAAAUAAUACUUACUAAUCCCAAAACUUUUUUAAAAUUAUGAUAUGGCCCAAAAUGAUAUGAAACUUUUCAAAUAAGUCCUUUUCCAAAAUUUCAAGCAAUACUUGUUGAUUUCAAAGUUUUCAAAAUUCUUUCAAUUAAACCAUAAACUUGAAAAGCAACCAAUUUCAUAAAAUCAUUUUUCCACUAAAUAUGAAACCUUUAUAAUGAGAAAAUAAUAUUUAUUUAAAAAGUAUAAAAAAAUCAUUUGAGCUUAAAAGAUUAAUCAUUCUUAAUCUUGUUUGUUAUCAUCAAAAUCAACAUUAUGGAAACAUAUAUGUUAACACAACUAACUUCAUUGAUCAACCUCCUCAACCAUAAUACUGAAUAUCACCUAAACACUUCUAAAUUAUCAAAAGAUUAUAUUAGAGCUAAUGUCAACAUACAUUAAACAUUCAUAAUCAUCAAAUCAUAAUACAAUUAUACAAUCCAAAAUGAGAUGAUCUAAAUGCCCUAAUAAUAUCAUUUAUAUCUCCUAGCACCAUCACGUGGCCAAAAUUAAAAAAAAAAAAUACUACAAUCACUGGGUCGAUUGGUGUACCACAACCUUCUUCAGGGGGAAAGUAUAAUAAAAUGAAAUGAGUAUAAAACUCAAUGAGUGGAUAAUAGUUUUUGAAAAUAACAUAUUUUAAAAUAAUUAUUUCUUUUCAAUACACCAUUUUCAUCAAACUAUAAGUAAGAACAUAGAUGAAUUAUUCGGACUUUAAAUCAAACAACUGUCGUUAAAAGAAUACAUGAUAUUAUACAUAAUAUACAAGGAAAUCAUAUCAAAAUAUAAUAUAAAAUACUUGAUUAUGAAAUUGUCACUAAAUAGUACCUAAGUAAAUAAUCUUGUCAUUCUCGCACCUCUUAUCGAUGGUGAAAUGACGUACUAUCUGAGUACUAUCAUGUCCGGAGCUAGAACGAGUAGACCAAUGGCAUGCUAUCUCAUAUAUCUCAUCAUAUCUCCUUAUAUUUCAUGUAAAAAACAAUCCCUACAGGACAAAAACACCCAAGCACACAACCCAAAAUCUUUGUGUAUAUUCAGACGGGACCCAAAGAUCUCUAGCUCAAUUGUAAUCUCUACAACUGAAUCUAUAUCUCUGUAUCUGAAAAUGUAUCUAUAGGGGAGGAGUAUUGUCAAAUGAUUUUGAAAACAAACUCUUAUACACUUGUAGAUAAACAUAUAAUCAUACUUUAAACUUCAUUUCCUUUUUCAUUAACAUACUGUAAAUCUAUUUUUCUUUUCUUUAAAAUACUCUUAUGCGUUUACUCAACAUAGAGAAGCAAAAGUAAUCAUCAAAUACGCUUUAACAAUAUAUUAAUACAUAAAUAAAACUCAUUUAUAAAACCAUUAAAUCAAAACAUUAAACUCUUGUUUCAUAUGCAUGCGUUACUUUACUUAAUUUAAAAAUCAUAAUAAAUUAUAAAGAUGGGUUUAGUAUAUUCCAUUUGCAAUGAUGAUGCUCAAGCUCAACUAUUAUCGACAUCCGCAGAUUGACUCACGUUUAUGGCUCCUCUAAAUUGUGGAACGACAUAAUUACUUUUUUGAAUAUAUGAAAUACAACUAGCUUUAAGCAAGAUAGCUCUCAAUGAAUAUUUAUCCCACAAUGUACAACUCCCGAAACCAUACUUGUAAGAUAAAAAUGACCAUAAUAUACUCAAAGCCAUAAUUUACACCUUAUACCUAAAAUUCCAUACUCCUUAAAUUUUUCAUAUGUUAUAAUACUAAUAAAUCUUCCACAUUAUCAAAAAUCUCAUAAUUAACCAUAACCUACCUAAACAUGAUGCAUAACUAUAAGCUAUUUACAUACCGAAAUGAGGGAACGAUGAGGGCUACGCGUUUCUAGGUGUACAAUGCCUCAUUGGUGCCCUUGUGCAUCUAUAAUAAUCCACUAGUUACAAAACUUAGCUUCGGACAAUCUUUACCCAUUUGUUAGAAACCUUAACUAUAAAUAAAGUAUACAAAUCUUUAAAUUAACUUCAUUCCCAUGAGAUCCAACUUCGAAUAAAGAUAACAUGAUAGAAAUCUUACUUCCUUUGGUGAGAAAAACCAACUUGGAAGCUUGAAUCACUUCCUUCUCACUUAAAUCCCCUCUCUACACUUACAUUUAAAUUCCUCUUUAAUGGAUGUUUUCAAAAGAAUUUAGGGACGGAAACACUCUAGAAUAACUCUCCAUUCCAAGCUUUCCAAGAUCCAAACUCAAACUUUGAAAAAUUUCCCCAUUUUUCUCCUCUUUCCCAUUGCUCCUCUUCUCCUUUUCUUUUUUGCCUUUUUUUUUUCAAAUCAAUACAUAUAAAAUCCAAUGGAGACUAACGGGCUUUCAAGUAAGGGUGGAUGUUCAAAUUGGUAUUUGUUUUAUUCUUUAUUAAUCUGGCCUGGAUUUGAGAUUUUGGAACUAUAAGUGGCUGGUUACUGGGAAAUUUUUGAAAAUGAAAUUGUUGUAACCUAAAUUGGACCCAAACUGAAAUUGAGACCUAAAUUUUCAAACCGAACCAAUCCAAAGUUUGAUCCCAAAUAGAACCGAGUCGAACUAAAUUCGGUUCGGUUCUGUUUGGGUUCAUGUUUUGAACCUAAUUGGGUUGAAUACUCUAACCAGAUCAGGUUGUAACCUAACUGGAACUCGAACAACCCGAAUCGAAACCCGAUAUGCCCACCCCUAUUUUAAAGCCUACAGACCAAUGGAAGAAAUGGAAAGAAAAAAUAUGUUACAGUUAUUAACUUGAUUCUUGGGCAUUAUAAUCUCAAUAUUUAACAUGAUUUUGUUUCUCAUAUUAGUUUCUAUCUUCUGCGUUGAGACCUAGAGUCUUAUUUAUGUUGGCAUCUUGUAAGGGUUGGCAUUCUUAUUGAAUUGUAAUUCAUAAAUUGAAGGCUAUGUUAAUUGGGAGAUUUCUUAAUUUAGUUAUUUUCUUAAAAUUAGGAUUUAAGUCUUUUCAUUUUAAGGAUUUACUUAGAACACAAAGAGUCUAAUUUUGGAAGCAAAUCAAAAUUAAAAAAAAAAAAAAAAGGCUCUCUAUAACUUGUUAUAGAAGUUAUACAUUGAAGAUAGCUCAUCACAAGCAGAAAAAUAGAAUUUUAAGGUCGAUUGCUAUAAAUAGUAUUAGAUGAACAAUAUUAGUUAAUAGUGUCUAUUGAAACUAUUCAUUGAACUUUAAUCUUUAUAGGGUAAACGCUUAUUUAGUCCCUAUAUUUUCACUCAAAUAUAUGUUUAGUCUCACAUUAUAAAAUAUAUCUCAAAAUACUCAUAUAGUUAAAUAUGUUACACUCUUAACCUUUUUUAGUUUUAUGAUAACACCCUUCAAACAACAUUCUUGACAUGAAUUAAGGUAUCUAUAAAAAAAAGUUAAUUAGCAUCUUAACCAAUAAUUAAUUAUUAGCAAAUUAAUUAACAAAUACCACUGUGAAAGAACUAAUAUUUUUGUACUAUUGCAAGAAUCUUACUAAUAAUUAUUUAUAAAUAAAUUAAUAUUAGCCAACUUAAAACAAUGUUUAUUAAUAUCUUUACAACAAUUUUAAUAAUAAUUUUUUUAUAAAAAUUAAUUUACUAAAUUAAUUCUAAAAGUAAAAUAAUAAUAUAAAAGUUUGGAUAAAUUUUUAUGUUACUUUAAAGAUAAAUUUUGGUAAAUUAACAAUUUUUAUUGAUAUCCCAAGAAUAUUGUUGCAAGAGUGUUAUCAUAAAAAGAAAAAAAUUAAGGGUAACAAAUUAAGGGUAGGAAUGAAACAUAUUUGACCUCAUGGGUGUCUUGAGAUGUGUCUCUCUGUGUGUAACACUUAAAUCAAAAUAUAGGGAUUAAAUAAGUAUUUACCUAUUUUAUAUUCAUCCCACUCUUAGACAUACUUUUGGUGUGUUUCGGAUUGAGGUUGAGCAGCUGUAGCUUUUAAGCUACAACACUAAAGUGUUUGGUAAACACUAGCUGAUGUACCUUGAAAGUUAUGUUAAUAUGAUUUUUCACUUGUAUAAUAAAAAAUCUAUUAUAUCUUUAAUGAUUUUUUCAAAAUUAUUAUUUAAAAUUUAUAUUUACUAUAUAUUAUUGAUUUUUGUUUUAUAGUUACAGUUUUGUUUCCAUAGCAGUUGUAGCUUAAAAGUUAUAGCACCUCAAUCUCAAACAGGACCUUUGUUAAUUGGUCUCUCUUCGUUAAUUGGUCUCUUCCAAAAAAGAUGUUGUUUGGAGCAGUUAAGGAAUUUCAUAUCAAGGUUAUGAACAAGAAGACAAAUGGUUCUCGCAAAUUACAUAUGCCUUAGUUGACUGAGAUGGCGGCAAAAGUAAAUUUUCCUACAUAUUAAAAUACUAAAUGUGAUAUAAGAACCAACUAUAAGCAAGUUAAAUUGAUGAUUUGGUAUAAUUACAAUAAUUAUUAUUUUUAAUUGAUCUGUGGGUUGAAAUGACUAUAUAAUCAUUCUUAAGUGCGAGCAUCCAUUUUUUUUUGGGAAAAUGACAAACACACCCCCAACGUUUAGGCAAAGGGAUAAAAAACCUCCUAACGUUUUAAAAAAGACAUUUACACCCCAACUUAUUAUAAUUUUACCAUUAUACCCUUCUAGCAUAUAAAAAAAAUUAUUAGAUUAUCUAAUUUGUCUAUAUAUUGUUAAUAAAAUUAUAAAUAGAAAAAUUGGAUAUUAUUAAAAAAAUUAUAAAUAUACCCUCAUUGCCCAAAUCUUCUAUUUAAAUUUUUAUCAAUAACCAAUUUUCAAAAAAGACAUCUAUACACCUAAAAAAUUAUAAAUAAAUUAUAAUUUUAAAAAUAAAAUUGGUUAUUAAUAACCAAUUUUAUUUAAAAUUUAAACUUUUAUAUUUAACAAUUCUCCACAUGUCAAUCAUUUAAACCUGUACAUUUAUAACCAAUUUUCUAUGUUAUUUAUUAUGGUAUUAAUAACCAAUUUUAUUUUUAAAAUUAUAAUUUAUUUACAAUUUUUUUUAAGUGUGUAGAUGUCUUUUUUGAAAAUUGAUUAUUGAUAAAAAUUUAAAUAGAGGAAUGAUGCAAUGAGGGUAUAUUUAUAAUUUUAUUAACAAUAUAUAGACAAAUUGGAUAAUCUAAUAAUUUUUUUUAUAUGUUAGAAGGGUAUAAUGGUAAAAUUAUAAUAAAUUGGGGGUGUAAAUAUCUUUUUCAAAACGUUAGGGGGGCUUUUGUCCCUUUGCCUAAACGUUGGGAGUGUGUUUGUCCUUUUUCCUUUUUUUUUUUUAAUACGGAUACACUCUUAAACUGUAUAAUUAAAAAAGAUACGUUUUGAAAUAAAUUACAAUAUUGUACUGUUUAAAAGAAUUAAAAACUAACUCUCUUUAAUUUCACAACUUAAAAACGUAGCCAAAAGGAAAUUUUAGGGUGGCGGCAUUGAAAAAAAACACAUAUAUUGCUUAUCAAAUCUAAGAUUAAAAUUCGGAAUUAAAAUUUGAGACGGAUAUAAAAUAUCGUAUAAGUAAUUUAGGAUGCCAUAAAUUCAUACUGGUGUCUAGUUCUAAACUUUAUCUCCAGAUUUCAAACAUUCAUCGCUUUGUGGCCCCUAUUUUCUUUGUUUUUCUAACUUUCUUCCGGUGGCGGAGCCCACCAUUGGAAGAAGUUAAUUUUUUUUUUGACAUUUUUUUCAUUGUCUAGCCCACCACCUUGUUUGACUCUUCUCUGGAAAAAGUUACUUUUUUGGGUUUUUCAAUAUGCUAUAAUUUUUUUACAGCAUCAAUAAUAUUUUUAAUUGUGUAUCAUUAAAUUUAAUUAAUGAUAUAUUUAAUCAAUGGUAUAUAAUAUUUGUAGUAAAAAAAAAUAAUAAACGGUUAUUAAAUGUGUAAGGGGUGGAGAAUUUUAUAAAAUAACUAUGACCAUCCUUAGAGUUUGAAAUAAUUUCACUUAAAUAGCAUAUUUUAUUUAAAAUUAUUUUUCAAUCCUCCUUUAAAUUUGAAUUGUGAUAAUCUUUUUUAAAUAAAUCUUCCAAAAUCUAUUACCAUGAAGUAUAAAAUAUAAUGGUAGGUUAUUUAACACAAAUCAAAUAAAUAAGUUGCAAUUAUAAAAUUUAUAUAUGAUAUAAUAGUAAUAAAUAACACAACUAAGUACAUAUACUUAAGUAAAUGCAUAGUUACAUCAAUAAACUCAUUGUUGAGAUUGCUUGUAACAUAAAAAUUACUUGAUCACACAUGUUUUAAUAAAAUUUAAUAUCGUAUAUUAAAAUACUUAUUAUUUUAUAUAAUAUUAAGGGUCAUUGUAUAAUUAAUCAUGAAGUGUGUAUUAUUUUUAACACCCAUUUAACAUGCUUAUUCUCUGAACUUUAUAUUUAUCUUACAAUUAAUAUCCUUACAUGGUAGGAAUUUUAAGUUUUAUAAGCCUAUAUAUUUUCAUUUUAUUUUCAAAUAUCACUUUGUUAAUUUCAUAAAAGUUAAAUCUAAUAUAUAUUCCUAAUGAGCUUUAGUUUAUGAAUCGUGAAAGAUUAUUUUAUUGAUAUCAUUUGAUUGUAAUUAUAAAAUUUUAUGUUAUUAAGAGUCAUUACUUUUGUUAUGAUAAUUAAUUGUGACUAUAAAUAAAAUAUUGUCUCCAAUAAUAUUUACGCAGGAAAAAAAGUGAACGAAAAUCAUUUGUAUUUUUAGAUUUUUAUUGACAUGGUAGGAAAUUAUCUCAGCCUUAAAACAUUUAACUUUCACAAGCUUGUUUUCAUUUUAUUUUCAAAUGUCACUUUGUUAAUUUCAUAAAAAUUAAAUCUAACACAUAUUCCUAAUUAACUUUAGUUUAUGAAUUAUAAAAAAUUAUUUUAUUGUUAUUCUUUGAUAGUAAUUAUAAAAUUUUUAUGCUACGAAGAGUCAUUACUUUUAUUAUGAUAAUUAAUAGUGACAAUAAAUAAAAUAUUACAUCAAAUAAUAUUUAAUGGACAAAAUGAGGAAAAAAAAUCAUUGUAUAUUUUUAUAUUUCCAUUAUAAAGAUAUGGUUUGGGAUACUUUAACUUAAACUUUUGGCACACUAGUUGAGCAACUAAUAUCUCAUAAUCUAAUGGUUGAUAUUGAAAGUCAAAGCAACAUUUCAUAAUAUUAUAUCUUCCACCAUUGAAUUGCAUGAAAUAAAUAGUUUAAUUUUUUGAUAAAAAUUAAAAUCAAAAUAUUUCUCACUCUAUAGUUAUAUAGACAUAUAUAUUUUUCAAUAAUAAUUGGUGAAUAAAAUAUUUCUCAUUUGUUGUGACUCAUAUAGUAUUAUUAAUAAAACACAUAUAAAAUUGUUUAUUGCAAUGCUUUCUAUUAUCAUUAUUAUUUAGGUAUUAAUGGUUUGUAAUUAAAUUCAUACAAUACAAAUUAUUACAAGACUUUGUGUUAAAUAACCUACUUGAUAUUAUAUUUUAUACUUAAAGGUAACUGAUUUUGGAAGAUUUAUUUAAAAGAGAUUAUCAUAUUACAAAUUUAAAGGAGGGCUGAAAAGUAAUUUUAAAUAAAAUAUACUAUUUAAGUGAAAUUAUAUCAAACUCUAAGGGUAGUCACAAUUAUUUUACAAAAAUUAUCCACCUACUUGAACGGUUACCAUUAUUUUUUAGUACAAAUAUUAUAUACCAUUGAUUAGAUCUAAUGGUUCACAAUUAAUAAAUUAUUGAUGCUGUAAAAAAAUUUACAGCAUCAUAGAGGAACCCUGCUUUUCUAUAUUUUUUUCAAUGUCGAACCUGCCGAGCCCACCAACAUGUUCUCAUUUUUUUUUUUUUUUGGCAAACCCUUACAUACAUUUAAUGUAUCUUACACCAAACAAUGAAUGGACGCCACACCACUCACUGUGUGAGUGGUUAUAAUAUAUAUUAAGGCCAUGUUUGCUUGGGGGUUGAGAAGUGAGGAGAGGAAAAGAAUUUAAUUUUUUUUAUAUUUUCCAUUGUUUUGUUGGACUAAAUUUAAUGGAAUUGAAUUUUCAUUGAAAUUUAAUUUCCAUCAAUUUGAAGAAUUUGUAUUCCUUAUCAAUGACUAAGGAUAUCAAAUUUCUUAUCUAUUUAAACACAAAAAAUCUAAUAUUAUCCUCUAAACAAAAUCAAUUUUAAAUAAAUGAAAGUAUAAAUAAUUUAUAUUUAUUUUAUUAAAUUAAUAGGAUAAAUUUAUUUGAUAAAAGAAAAAACAGUAAAGUGACUCACCGGAAAGUCACCGAAGACACGCUGGAGUUUCGCCGAAGACGCGUUUUUCCAUCAAAACCGGUACCAAUAGAAUUCUCAUGAGCCGAUCUACAACUUUAUGGGGUUAGAAAUGCUAAUAUACAUUGUUAUUUACCUCAAGUCUUGUUUAAAUACUUGAGAAAAUUUUAACUCAACUAUAUAGUGUAUUUUCUUCAAAAUUAACAUUUCCAAUGAGUAAAUCGUCCAUUUUUUUUAUCAUUAUUAUGUAUUUAACACGAUGAAAAAUGGUAGUCAACUAUGGUCAACGGCGCCGGUCAAUGACGAUCAACAGAGGUCAAUGCGGCAGCUGUUCAUGCCCAAAUGCUGUAAUUUUUUAAAAUAAAUUUUUUUAUUUAAUUAAGUAAUUUUUAGAUUAAAUUAAUUCAUAGUUUAAUUAUGUUUUAAUUUAUUAACAAUAUUAACAUUAAAGAUAGUGGGUAUAUUUGUCCAAAUAAGAAAUAUGUAAUUUCUUUUUCUUUCAAAUUUUAUGUGAAACCAAAUAAUAACAAUUAAUUUUUGCACUCUUUUCCUCUUAUCUCAUCUCUAUUCCUCACAUUUUUUCUCCUUUCGUCUCCUCCCCUUUUUUAAAACAACACCACAUAAAUGUAUGUUAGAGGAAUCUUUUUUAUUUUAUUCAGCCUUUGAUUUCCUUUCAUCGGUGGGGUAGGUACUUUUAAAAAGAAAAUUAUACUUUAAAAAUAUUUUCAACAUUUAUUUUUAAUUAAAUAUUAUAUUAUCAAAUUACUCUUUAUGAAAUUUACCGUUAUAGACAAUCAAAAUUACUAGAUAAAAUUUUAUAAUUGUGUCAAAAAAAAUCGUUUUUUAAUUUUUUUUCAUUUUAAUUUUCUCCUCGACUUCACUGGUAAAUAUUUACUCUAAAAAAGGGUGGCUGUUAAAACAAAAAUAAAUAAAUAAUUGGGCAUUGGUUUGGAUAAGAUGGACAACAUUUAUUGGGACUCUAUAUCAUUGGGCGGUAGAACUUGGAGGUUGGACCGUUGCACUUUUAAUAAAUUAAUCUGUAAGCAGUUUUUUUUUUUUUAUUGGCUGAUAUAUAACAAUCAGAGCUCUACUAAUAUAAUCAGACGUCAAUCGGGUACUCUUCUCAAUAAUCAUAUUGUAGCACAGCUCGAAUAUCGACUCAUCGUUUAAAGCUGAAGGGAGAUCUACCAUCACUAUUAAUACCGGAGGGGAAUCAAUUCUACCCCAGUGUGGGGAGAAAAAAACAACGUCCAAGUUCUCAAUAAUUUUAGUGGGAACAAAAGUUCAGUUCAUGACCAUGAAAUUAAUCGGAGUUGUUCCGAUGGUUACCGCAAGAGUGUUGACGUUUGAAGAAAGAGAGCUUGGGCAAAAUAAAUUAAUUUUAGGGUAACUUUGGGAUUUUGAUGAGCGUGUAUAGUAAAAAAUUAUAUUUUAAAUUUGACAGUGUAUUGAGUAAAUGAGUGUCUAAAAUAAUAUUUAGAGUAUAAAUAAUCUCACCUAAAAAAAUUAUUUACUUUAAUAAAGACACAAUAAUUUACGUGAUUCGACUUAAAAUCUACAUUUACGAGCAAAAGCUAAAAAUAACUUCAUUAAUAAAUAAAAAUUUACCAAAUUAAGAAAAAAUACCCUCAAAACUCAAAAUCCCAAUAUACCCAAUUAAACCAUUAGUAGAACACUCAAAUAAAAACACUAUUCAAUUUCUCAAAUUACUUCCCUUAUAAUUACUUUCAACUUUCACACUUUAGGAUGAUCUUUAAAUGACAAACUGCCCCUCUGUCUAUGCCUCUAUGGGAGUGCGUGGCUCAACUAUCUCUCAAUUUUGGUAACUUGUCUAGUCCACCGAAUUCGGAACCCAAUCUUGUGCCGCCAUUUCUUAACAAGCUCUCCAAAUGCAUUAAAGUGUCAAGUAUUUCAAUAACCAACUCUCUACAUUUGUUGGCAAUUUUCAAUGUAUUUAAUUCACUUUUUUUGACUUUUCAACACACAGGAUGUGGAGAAAAAUAAUUAUGUUUUCGUUCUAUUUUUUUCAAUAGUUAGUAUGAUAAUCAGCCAAAUAUAUACAACAUACCAUUCUAUAACUCUGAUACUUUGUAAUAUAUACCAAUCAAGCCCCAAGUCUAAGACUGUCUCAUAAAACUAUUAAAAAAUUUGAACCUAAUACUUCAACGCAUCACUAAAAUGUUUUUUAAAUUAGAUUUUAUUACUUUUUAACGAGUCAUAUCAAUCAAUAAAUUUUAAAAGACUUUUUAAGUGAGUUUUUUUUUUUUUAUUGAAGAGAGAGAAAAGUGCUAUCUCAUUUGAAGGGUUUUUUAAAAUCUUAAAUUUAUUCUACUGUUUCUCAUAAUUUCAUGAAGAGAAAGAAGUAUCAUAUUUGCUAUUGUUUUUGUAGAGAAAUUUUUUGAUUAAAAUAAUAUAUUUAUACUUUUAUUUAAAGAAUCUUUUAAUUUUUUUCCACUCUUUCAUUUACAAUAUAUAGUAAAUAAAUAUUUAAAAAAAUUAAAUUUAGAAGAAUAUUUUAGUGAUCUUCUUAGAUCUACUUAGUGUCUGUUUGGUAUAAUUUAUGUAAUGCUCAUAAGUAUUUAUUUAGUCUCAUAAAUUCUUAUCAUAAUUUUUAUUACUAUUUAUUUUUUUUAGAGAUUUUAUAGUUUAAAUAAGUUAUUUUAUUUCUACUAGUAAAAUCUCAAAUUAGGAGUAGAGAUUGAAAUUUUUUUAAAUAUUAAAAUAUUCUCUACUAAUUUGACUUUUUUUCAUAACAUAACUUUAAAAACUUACCUAUUAAAAUAAUUUCAUAAAUUUUUAAUAAAAAUUCUUAUUAACAAUCAACAACAAAAAUUUUUUAAGUAAAAAUUUUGUUAUCAAAAACUUUAUUUAAAUAAAUUUUAUUUAAAAAAUUAUAUUAAACGGAGCCUUACCCUCGCGAAUCGCGAUACCAUAACUAUUUUGAAGAAAUCGAAGAAUGGAAAGAAUUAAAAAGGCAAAACCGCGUUGUAAAGGAGGACGUGGAUCAACGUACCGAGGCCACUAAUGACAAAUAGCUACACCUUUUGAAGUAGACUCCCAACGUCUACCUAACCUAAACGGGUACAGAGACCUUUUGUUUUUUUUUUACAAUAGGUACAGUUACGUAUGACUGAAGAAAUAAAAAUAAUAAUAAAAAGCAUAGGGUAGAAGAAAACAAAGCUACCCAUUGGCUUCGUGUUGCAACUCUGCAACAGAAUGUCAAAUCGACAAUGAAAUUUCUUUGUCCAUUUUUCACGUGCACAACCAUAAAAAAGAAAAAAAAAUAUCAAAAUUAUAUGCAUAUGCUGGUGGGUCCCUUUUCAAAUUUGACAAGAGGAUUUUAAUUUCUUGUGAAAUUUGUGUUACUUCAAAUCAUUUUAUAGAAAUUAGGGAUGGCAAUGGGGAGGGGAGGGGAGAGGACCAAUCUCCCCGUAUCCAUCUCUGAUAUUUUGCGUAUCUCUCCGUCUCCUCCCCAUCCCCAUCAUAAUUACUUGAGAGAAUCUCAUUCUCCUCCCCGAAUAAUAACAUGGGGAUUCCCGAGGGUCCCCGAUCUCCGAAUAACUAAUACAUAUUUUUUAUUUUUUAUUUUUAGUUAAUUCUAUUAAAAUAAAAAAUUCAAACAAAAGUAAAGUUCGAAAUAUAUUUUACAUUAACAUUGAUUCAUUAUAAAAGUCACAUGCAAAAUACAAAUUAUCAAAAUAAUUAUCUUUAUCAAUCUUCAUAAUCCUACAAUAAAAAGAAAAAGAAUUUACUUUUAUAUCAACAAUAAAAUAAAUGAAAUAAAUGUAGAUACUUAAUUAAUAUUUUUAAUAAAACAAAAUUAAAAUUAAAACAAAAUUUUUGGGCUAAUAGAAUCUAAAACUUUAAUUAGUUAAUUAGGCCUAAAAGUUGAAUAAUAUAAAUAUUUUAAUAUUUGUUACUUUUACCAAUAUUUAUAAUUUUAUAAUAUAAUUCAAAUUUUAUUAUUUAUUUACUAGUAAUUUUAAAAAAUAAAAUAAAAUUAAAAAUUAAAAGAGGGAAAUGGGGAGGGGAUGGGGAUUCCACUUCAUCCCCACCCGUUCCCCGAAUAAGAAACUUGGUAAAAAAAAUUCCCCAUCCCUUCCCCGUAUAAGAAAUUGGGUAUAGAAUUAUCCACGUACCCUCCCCAAAUGGAAAAAAUCCCCGAGAGUACCCGCCUCCGUGGGGAUUUUUACCAUCCCUAAAAUUCCAUUGGCUUCGUGUUGCAACUCUGCAAUAGAAUGUCAAAUCGAGAUUGAAAUUUCUUUGUCCAUUUUUCACAUGCACAACCAUAAAAAAGAAAAAAAAAAUAUCACAAUUGUAUGUAUAUGCAGGUGGGUCCCUUUUCAAAUUUGACAAGAGGAUUUUAAUUUCUUGUGGAAUGUGUUACUUCAAAUCAUUUUAUAGAAAUUAGGGAUGGCAAUGGGGAGGGGAGGGGAGGGGACCAAUCUCCCCGUACUCAUCCCCGAUAUUUUACGUAUGUCCCCGUCCCCUCCCCAUCCCCGUCAUAAUUACUUGAGAGAAUCUUCAUCCCCUCUCCAAAUAAUAACAGGGGAUCCCCGAGGGUCCCCGAUCUCCGAAUAAUUAAUAUAUAUAUAUAUAUUAUUUUUUAUUUUGAGUUAAUUAUAUUAAAAUAAAAAAUUCAAACAAAAGUAAAGUUCGAAAUAUAUUUUACAUUAACAUUGAUCCAUUAUAAAAGUCACAUGCAAAAUACAAAUUAUCAAAAUAAUUAUCUUUGUCAAUCAUCAUAAUCCUACAAUAAAAAGAAAAAGAAUUUACUUUUUUAUCGACAAUAAAAUAAAUGAAAUAAAUGUAGAUACUUAAUUAAUAUUUUUAAUAAAACAAAAUUAAAAUUAAAACAAAAUUUUUAGACUAAUAGAAUCUACCCGACCUUUUUAAUGUCCUAAAUAAAAAUUUAAGACUUUAAUUAGUUAAUUAGGCCUAGAAGUUUAAUAAUAUAAAUAUUUUAAUAUUUGUUACUUUACCAAUAUUUAUAAUUUUAUAAUAUAAUUCAAAUUUUAUUAUUUAUUUACUAGUAAUUUUAAAAAAAUAAAAAUUAAAUUAAAUUUUAAAAUAAAAAUUAAAAUGGGGAAAUGAGGAGGGGAUGGGGAUUCCACCUCAUCCCCGCCCCUUCCCCGAAUAAGAAAUUGGGUAUAGAAUUAUCCCCGUACCCACCCCGAAUGGGAAAAAUCCCCGAGAGUACCCAUCCCCUAAUGGGAAAUUGGGUAUAGAAUUUAUUCUACUUUUUCUCAUAAUUUCAUGAAGAGAAAGAAGUAUCAUAUUUGCUAUUGUUUUUGUAGAGAAAUUUUUUUGAUUAAAAUAAUAUAUUUAUACUUUUAUUUAAAGAAUCUUUUAAUUUUUUUUCCACUCUUUCAUUUACAAUAUAUAAAAGUAAAUAAAUAUUUAAAGAAUUAAAUUUAGAAGAAUAUUUUAGUGAUCCUCUUAGAUUUACUUAGUGUCUGUUUGGUAUAAUUUAUGUAAUGCUCAUAAGUAUUUAUUUAGUCUCAUAAAUUCUUAUCAUAAUUUUUGUUACUGUUUAUUUUUUUUAGAGAUUUUACAGUUUAAAUAAGUUAUUUUAUUUCUACUAGUAAAAUCUCAAAUUAGGCGUAGAGAUUGAAUUUUUUUUUUAAAUAUUAAAAUAUCUAAAAUAUUCUCUACUUAUUUGAUAUUCUUUUCAUAACAUAACUUUAAAAACUUACCUAUUAAAAUAAUUUCAUAAAUUUUUAAUAAAUUUUUUUAUUAACAAUCAACAACAAAAAUUUUUUUAAAUAAAAAUUUUAUUUAUAAAAAUUUUGUUAUCGAAAACUUUAUUUAAAUAAAUUUUAUUUAAAAAAUUAUAUUAAACGGAGCCUUACCUCGCGAAUCGCGAUACCACAAUUAUUUUGAAGAAAUCGAAGAAUGGAAAGAAUUGAAAAGGCAAAACCGUGUUGUAAAAGAGGACGUGGAUCAACGUACCGAGGCCACUAAUGACAAAUAGCUACACCUUUUGAAGUAGACUCCCAGCGUCUACCUAACCUAAACGGGUACAGAGACCUUUUGUUUUUUUUUUUUUACAAUAGGUACAGUUACGUAUGACUGAAGAAAUAAAAAAAAAAAAAAUGAAAAGCAUAGGGUAGAAGAAAACAAAGCUACCCAUUGGCUUCGUGUUGCAACUCUGCAACAGAAUGUCAAAUCGACAAUGAAAUUUCUUUGUCCAUUUUUCACAUGCACAGCCAUAAAAAAGAAAAAAAUAUAUCACAAUUGUAUGUAUAUGUUGGUGGGUCCCUUUUCAAUUUUGACAAGAGGAUUUUAAUUUUUUGUGAAAUUUGUAUUACUUCAAAUCAUUUUAUAGAAAUUAGGGAUGGCAAUGGGGAGGGGAGGGGAGGGGAGGGGACCAAUCUCUCCGUAUCUAUCCCUGAUUUUUUUCGUAUGUCACCGUCCCCUCCCCAUCCUCAUCAUAAUUACUUGAGAGAAUCUCCUUUCUCUUCCCGAAUAAUAACAUAGGGAUUCCCGAGGGUCCCCGAUCCCCGAUCCCCGAAUAACUAAUACAUAUUUUUUAUUUUUUAUUUUUAGUUAAUUCUAUUAAAAUAAAAAAUUCAAACAAAAGUAAAGUUCGAAAUAUAUUUUACAUUAACAUUGAUCCAUUAUAAAAGUCACAUGCAAAAUACAAAUUAUCAAAAUAAUUAUUUUUGUCAAUCUUCAUAAUCCUACAAUAAAAAGAAAAAGAAUUUACUUUUAUAUCGACAAUAAAAUAAAUGAAAUAAAUGUAGAUACUUAAUUAAUAUUUUUAAUAAAAUAAAAUUAAUAUUAAAACAAAAUUUUUGGGCUAAUAGAAUCUAUCCGACCUUUUUAAUGUCUUAAAUAAAACUUUAGGACUUUAAUUAGUUAAUUAGGCCUAGAAGUUUAAUAAUAUAAAUAUUUUAAUAUUUGUUACUUUUACCAAUAGUUAUAAUUUUAUAAUAUAAUUCAAAUUUUAUUAUUUAUUUACUAGUAAUUUUAAAAAAUAAAAAUAAAAUUAAAAAUUAAAAUGGGGAAAUGAGGAGGGGAUGGGGAUUCCACCUCAUCCCCGCUCCUUCCCCGAAUAAGAAAUUGGGUAAAAAAAUUUUCACAUCCCUUCCCCGAAUAAGAAAUUGGGUAUAGAAUUAUCCUCGUACUCUCCCCGAAUGGAAAAAAUUCCCGAGAGUACCCGUCACCGAAUAAGAAAUUGAGUAUAGAAUUUAUUCUACUUUUUCUCAUAAUUUCAUGAAGAGAAAGAAGUAUCAUAUUUGCUAUUAUUUUUGUCGAGAAAUUUUUUUUGAUUAAAAUAAUAUAUUUAUACUUUUAUUUAAAGAAUCUUUUAAUUUUUUUCCACUCUUUCAUUUACAAUAUAUAAAAGUAAAUAAAUAUUUAAAGAAUUAAAUUUAGAAGAAUAUUUUAGUGAUCCUCUUAGAUUUACUUAGUGUCUGUUUGGUAUAAUUUAUGUAAUUUUCAUAAGUAUUUAUUUAAUUUCAUAAAUUCUUAUCAUAAUUUUUGUUACUGUUUAUUUUUUUUAGAGAUUUUACAGUUUAAAUAAGUUAUUUUAUUUCUACUAGUAAAAUCUCAAAUUAGGAGUAGAGAUUGAAUUUUUUUUAAAUAUUAAAAUAUCUAAAAUAUUCCGUACUUAUUUGACAUUCUUUUCAUAACAUAACUUUAAAAAUUUACCGAUUAAAAUAAUUUUAUAAAUUUUUAAUAAAUUUUUUUAUUAACAAUCAACAACUAAAAUUUUUUAAGUAAAAAUUUUAUUUAUAAAAAUUUUGUUAUCGAAAACUUUAUUUAAAUAAAUUUUAUUUAAAAAAUUAUAUUAAACGGAGUCUUACCUCGCGAAUCGUGAUACCACAACUAUUUUGAAGAAAUCGAAGAAUGGAAAGAAUUGAAAAGGCAAAACCGCAUUGUAAAAGAGGACGUGGAUCAACGUACCGAGGCCACUAAUGACAAAUAACUACACAUUUUGAAGUAGACUCUCAGUAUCUACCUAACCUAAACAGGUACAAAAAUCUUUUAUUUUUUUGAUCUCACUACGUUACGUUUAACAUAACAUACAUUCACACACAACAACAAUUUUCAUAAUAAGAUCCAUAACUAUUACUAUAUGUGACAAUUAUUACUAUGUGUGACGUAGCCUUAUUUUUUUUAACAAUAGGUGCAGAUACGUACGAAUGCAUUAAUUAAUGAAAAGCAGAGGGUAGAAGAAAACAAAGCUACGUCGGCAGACACGUUGCAGUAGGGAUUCUGGAAUGCAUUAAUUAAGGGGCCUUAAGUAUUCAAUAGUCAAAGAAAUGAGAAGGCAGAGCGUAGAAGAAAACAAAGCCACGUCGCCAGACACGUUGCUGAAGGGAUUAUGGAAUGCAUUAAUUAAGGGGUCUUAAAUAUUAAGUAGUGACAUCCUUUUUGUGUUUUUCCAUAAGAAGAUGCUGGAAUGCAUUAAUUAAGAGGCCCACUGUGAUUAAUUCAUAACUACUAGUAAUUUGUUUGUAUUCGAGUUGCUCCUUUGUAUAACUAGACGUGAAAAUGAGUGAUUGGUGGGGCGGUGGAGUCGAGGGUGCUAAGAGCAACAAAAACAAAUUCUGAAGCAAUUGUUCUGACUCUUGAGUGCUUAUAUUUAUUUCAUUAAUCUCGGAAGAUAUGGCGUCUCAUAAGGUGCCUGGUAAUCGCAAAUUGAUAGGUUCUAAAUCAGAAUACUAUUUUAUGCUUUAUGCAGGUACUGAAGAAGUGAAGAGCUACGACCGGAUUGAUUUUGGUAUGUUUGGUCGGAGUUGGGCUCCCAUUGUUUCUUGGGCCGUGAUAGUUGUUCCCCACGAGCCGGAGAGUAAUUGGAGAAAAAAUUUACCUCCUCCAAGUGUCAAUAAUAUGGACCCCGCUAGCUCGCUUUGUGUUAUUACAUCUGGUUCUUCUAAUGGUUAUAAGCCUAUAGGUGAUGAUAAAAAGGAUCGUCCUUUUCAUGGCGUUAGAACUACAGUUCCAUUGAACAAAUUGAAAUAUGAUCGUGAAGUGUUGCGCGGAGGUUCUCUUGUUUUGGAGAUUAAUCUUUUAGAGGUUUUUCACGGAGGAGAUGUUGUGGAUUCUGAUCAUACUUUUGAUGGUCAAGUGUUUUGGAACUUGUACUCGAAUUGAAUAUUGUACGGUGAGAUAAGUUGAUGUGUGUAUUAAUGGUAUUAUCUAAUAUAAACAUAGGAUUGGACAUAUAGUUGUGUCAAUGUAUUGUGUAAUUUAACUACCUCUAGAUAAUAUUAUCGUUUGUGUAAUGAUUGUAAUUGAUGUUUUGUUGGAGGAUCCUUUAGUAUGCUUAUAAAAAGGAUUCAAGUGUGUUGUAACGAGCAGAGCUCUUCUAAGUCUAGUCCAUAAAUAAAUAAAAGAGUUGACUAUAAUGUAAUAUUGUGGGGUCUUCUACUGUGUCUAUAAAAGGAUCCAAGUGUGUUGUAAUAUGAGUAGAGAUUCAUGAAUUUAGUCUAUAAAUAAAUUAAACAAGUGUUUUAUAUAGUCCUUUUAUGAACAUGUAUGGUCUCAUUUCCUUCAUAAAGCAAUGUAUAGCCGUUGUGACAAAAUCUUAUUACUCAAGUUUACUCAUGAAUCCUUUACACAAAUGUUACAAAUGUAUAAUAACAAAAUUGAAAAGUCAUUUUCACACGUUACAAAUAUAUACUAACAAAAUUGAAAUAACAUUAUUACAAAUUAGAACAAUAUGUAAUAACAAAAAAUAAAUAAAUAAACUCGAGGCUUGUAAAGUUAAUAGUUUAUUUAAAAAAAAUUAGAACAAUAUGUUUUAUAUAUUACUGGUGAAGAUGAAGAAGAGAUUCGAAUAACAAGAAAUAACUUAUUAGUUCGCUUCUAGAUGAAAAAGCUUGGUUAGCUUAAGCACUUCCUUGGUCUAGAAGUUAUCGAAUAGAAGAAGGGAUAUUUCUUUACCAACAAAAUUAUGCCAAAGACUUGCUGAAGAAGUUUGAAAUGAUGGAAUGAAAACUAAUCUCAACUCCAUUGGAAGUAAAUGCAAAAUUGUGCACACACGAAGGCAGAGAUUUACAAUAUAGAACAAUGUAUCAACAAUUGGUAGGUAGUUUAAUCUACCUUAUGCUGAAUCAACCGAAUAUUUCAUAUGUCGUAGGUGUCAUGAGUUGGUAAAUGCAAAAUCCAAAGAAGCUUCACUUGGAAGUAGUUCUGUGAAUACUAAGAUAUGUGAAGAGUACAAACAAUUAUGGUUCAUUGUGCAAGAAAGAUGAAAUUACAAGCUGACUAGCUAUUGUGACGCUGACUACGCCGGAGAUCAUGAUACAAAAAGAUUAACUACUAGGUAUGUUUUCAGAAUUAGGUCUAGAGUAGUUUUUUAGUGUAGUAAGAGACAACCAACUGUAUCACUAUCAACCACAGAGGCAGAGUAUAAAACAACAGUGAUGACAUCUCAAAAAAGCACUUGGUUGAUGUAGUUGAUCAAGGAUCUACACCAACUAGUAGAUUAUGUAUGCAAUACCACUGUAUUGCGAUAAUCAAUCGAUAAUCAACUUGGUAGAAAAUCUAGUUUUCCAUGCAAGAACUAAGCAUGUAGAGGUCCAUUAUCACUUCAUCAGGGAAAAUGUCUUACAAGAUAAAGUUGAGAUGCGGUACGUCAAGACAAACAAUUAAGUUACGGAUUUUUUUUUUUAUAAAAAGUCUUUGUACCAUGAAGUUUAAAAAGUUUCGUCAGCAGCUCAAUAUGGAUCGAAUGAUGAAACUUGGUUUUGAGGGGGAGUGUUAAAAGUGCAACACCAAUUUUAUGAUCCAAUUAAAUAACAUUUGUCCAAAUCCAAGUUCAUAACUCAAUCCAUAGAAGACUUAAGAAUUGUGUAGAGAACAUGGGACAUUUCUAAUCUAAAAAUAUUUAAUGAUGAUGAAAAUAUCUUAUUUUAGAAAUCUCUUGAACGGUGAUAUUUAUAAAAUGUGAUUGUUAAAUUUUUAUAAUUUAAUGUUUUGUGUGGUUUGUAUUAGUUUUAGGAUACUAUAAAUACCGCUAAACUCUUUGUUGUAGGCAUCAAGAGAGGAGUGAAGAAUUAGUAGGAAGAAAGAAGAGUGAGCCGUGAGUAUCGUAGUGUUUUUCUUAUAAAAUAUCAAUAAAAUCCUUUAAUUUAGUAAAAUACUUCUAUUUCUUAAAUAUUUUCAGUCUUAAGCAGCUUCGUCCUUCUUUCUCAACAAAAGCAUUCCAUUUAGUAUAUGAAAAGAAAGUUGUGAGUUUGUGAAGAGAGAAUAAUUAGAAUAUCUUUUGCAAUUGUUAUUUUCCCAAUUUUAAGUAACAGAGUUGCUUUCUCCUAGUAUAAGAGAGAUUGUAAUUGUUCUAUCCUUGUAUUCAAAGAAAAUUGUUAUAAUCCUCAUUUGAAUAGUGAAUUCUUUCUACUUUUGUUGUGGAUUUUUAACCCGGUUUAUUUGGAAUUUUUUCCACUUAAAAUUUGUGUGUCCCAUAUAUCUUCAUUUGUUCUUAAUAUCACUUUGGUUUCGGUCUGAUACGGUCCUUAAUUUCCUAAUAGAAAACAACCGAAACCAUCCAAUAACGAGAGUGAUCUCUGAAAGCUCCAUUGCAGAACAUGGAUAACCGCUGCUUCGGCCAUCUGUAUUAACUUUUACCCAGCCAUGCACUAUCGGGCAAAUUUUAGCAAAAUAUUGAAAAUGAGAGGUAUAACCAACUUGUAUUAGAUGAAAGGAGGAUGGGGUGUUUUCAUAUCGUAGCUCUGUCACGGCAUCGAUGUGAAGAAGAUGAGUUGGUCAUGUCUAAUUAACAAAAAAAAAAAAAAUCCUUUCUGCUAAUCCCAAUUUCAAAGCUUUCUUGUGUCGGACUUUAAUUCUAACUUUGUAAUAUCACACUUUCAAUGGUUAUUUUACCUUUAUAUUCACUAUUGACUUAUAGGGGUGAAAUGAAUAAUUAAAACUCUAUUAUGGAUAUAAAUAACAAAAAAGAAAUUUAUGUGUCGCGGAACUGGUACUCAUAUGAAAAUAACAUUUGACAAUAUCGAACCAUUGGAGCACUAAAUAAAUUAUAGCAUUAUAUAAAAGGGGAUUUGAAUACAUGCUCAUGUUAUGCCCUACGGACUUUCUUUUGUAUUUGUUGGCAAAAAUUUGCAGAUCGUAGAUAUUUGCCCCUAAGGUAACAAAACUGCAAAAGCAUUUCGUGGGUAACAAGUACUCGGGCUUUUAUCUAGAAUAUCUUUAUUCUUCCAUACCAAUAAAUCACUUAGAUUUUAUGGGCUACGGAUGGAAAUUGUUAAAUUCAUUAUUUAUAGAGUUUGUAUUUUAUAGCAAGUCUAGUUAAAUUGGAAUUUUAUUUAUUGUAUAUUUUGUAAUAGUGAUUAAUUUAUUAAUUCCCUAAUUUAGUGAGAUUUCAAUUUAUUAAGAAUAUUUAUUUCCUAAUUUAAUUAGAUGGCUAACUUAAAAAGUCAAUUAAUGAUGUGAUUCUAUAAUUGGCGCAUGAGCUCUAUUUUGAGUAUGAAGUCAGUUCAAACAUGAAGUUUAUUAAAUGAUUUAGAUAUUUCUUGGGAGACAAGCAAUGUAAGAAAAUUAGAUUUAUUCCUAUUCAGAUUCAUAGGAAUUAUAAAAGAAAAUAAACUCUUAUUUGGAAAGAAUCAAAAUCUUUUAAGAGUUAUUAUUUUUGUGAAAUCCUAGUGCCUAUAUAAAGAGAGGUAUUUCACAAUUGAAGGUGUGCAACACGGAGCACAAAGCAGGGAAGCAAAAUUCGGCAUUCUCCCUAAAGAAUCCUAAUUUGGCACAUAAUAUUGUGUUGAUUUAUUUACUUAUCUUCUUUUCAUAUUUGUGUAGAGUCUAUGUGAAUUUUGGAUCACUAGACAUUAAAAAAUUAAAUAAUUGUUAUUGAUCACUUUGCGAAGUGCGUUAAGUAUCGUGGAUCAAGAGGGGUAGUAAUUAUUUAAGAGAAGCAAAUUCAGUCUGUACAAUGAUAAAAUGUAAAUGAGAGUUUUAAGUUUGAUAAAUCUAUGGUUGUAACAUCUCAACUUAGUGAAUUACUUUUCAUCUGAGCUUGACCUCGUGGAUGUAGAAUUAAUUAAUCUGAAUCACGUAAAAAUCUCCGUACCAUUUAAUUUCUGUAAUUUAUUGUAUUUUUGAAAAAUUAAUAUUUUGAUGCGGAUAAACAAUAACCGUAAACAUUAACUAUAAACAAUAAGCGUAAACAAUAAUGAUGAAUAGUAAUGGUAAACAAUAUUUCCGAAAGUUAAUUAAGUUGUUAAUUUUAAAUUUUUAAUUACCUACAUCUAAAUUGCCUACAUUUAGUGCAAUUUUGAAAGGUAUUAAAUUGGCAGCGGACUUGGGGUUUCUUCCGCUACUGAUAGAGUCCGAUUCAGUUAAUGUCAUUAGUCUCAUCUCAGGAAAAAUUAACAGCCAAUUAGAGAUUGAUUGGCUAAUAUCUGAUAUUAAAAGUUUUAUUUGUAAGAAAAGUGUUUGCUAUAAGACACAUUCCCAGAUCCGGUAAUUCAGCAGCUCACAAAGCUGCAAAAAUGGCUCUUGAUCAUGCUGAGUCGCGCACAUGGUUACAGGAUGCGCCUCCUGACAUUGUACCUCUCUUGUAAUGUUAUGGUGUAAUCAAUGAAAAUUUUAUUGUAAAAAAAAAAAUCCUUUCAGAAAUUAAUAUAUACUAUUUUAAUGUGGAAAAUCCCUUCAGAAUUAGUUCGAUAAAUACAAUAUUCAUCCAGUUACCGCAGGCUAAUAAUGCUCAUCCUGGAUAACUCAUGUCGCUUUUUACAUAUGCUGUAAUCUAAUUGGUGUGAUUAUCUUUGUAGGCCUACCUUCUCACUUGGCCAGAAUCGAGGUUAUAUAUGGUCAUGCAAUUAUACAUGAAAAAAGAAUAUCUUUCCAGUAGUUCAUUUUCCCUUUCACAUAGAGCGUACUAAGGAUAUAUAUAUCGGAAACCUGAGAAAACUAAUGAGAUAUUUGAAGGUUAAAGGGGAAGCCGGCUCCGUUAUUAAAAGCAAACUUCUUUAUUUAUUUAUAGACUAGAGUCAAGGAGCUUCACCCGUUACACACUUGAAUCCUUUUUCUAGGCACCAUAAAGGAUCCCAACAAUUAUACAUUACAAGUCAUUACCUUUAUUUAUAGACCAGACACAAGGCGCUCUGCCCAUACAACAUACUUGGAACAUUUUUAAAGGCACACUAAAAGACCAUCCACAACAAAACAUUGAUUCGAUCAUUACACUGGAGGUCGCCUUUUCAUCGGAAAUUGAGAUUUACCUUACCAAGAGGUAAUAUCAACGUUACACAAAACAUGACAUAUAACCAUGUCUAACCUUAUAUCUAGAUUAGAUUACACAGUACACACCAGCUUAAUUAUCUUACAGUAGUAUUCAAUUGGAAUACAAAUGCCAAUACAUUUUACCAUCGAAAGUAUGAUCAGAAUCCAGAACAUUUCCAUGAGGUACCUCUAUAAGAUUAAUCUGCAAAACAAGAGAACCUCCUUCCUGCACAUGACGAUCUUUAUACAGUUCAUCUAAUUGAACCAUAGUUCUAAGGCCAUGAAUAGGACGAUUUUUAUCAAUAGGCCUAUAACCAUUAGUAUAACCAGAUGCAACAACAUCAAAAGAUACUUCAGCAUCCAUAUUAUUGGCGGCUGCAGGAGGCAGAUCUCCUCUCCAAGCAUCCUCGUUAGCUCUGGGAACAAAUAGGACGGCCCAGGAAACAAUAGGAGCCCAACUUCGACCAAACAAACCAAAAUCCAUCCUAUUCAAGUCCUUCAAAACACCAGGAUCUGCAUAACGCAGAAAAAAGUAGUCUGAUUUAAAACCUAUCAAUUUUCGCUGAUCACACGCCAUAUCUUCCGUGAUUAAUGAAAAAUAAGCGCUCAGAAUCAGAUCACUUGCCUCAGAAAUUAUUUUCGUUGCUCUGUCACUCUUUUUUCUGCUGCCGUCCAAAGACAUUUUCACGUCUAUUUAUGCAAGGGAGGAAUUCGAACACAAACAAAUCACAAAUAAUUAUUAAUUAAUUAUAAUAGGACUCUUAAUUAAUGCAUUCCAGCAUCUCCUUCUGCAACGUGUCUGGCGACGUGGUUUUGUCUUCGUCUGUGCUCCGCCUUUCAUUUCUUGGAUAUCUUCAUCAUAGGUAUUAGAGCCAAGUUAAGGUUAGGUAGAUGAUACAAGUCCUCUUCAAAAGGAUUUUGCUAGUAUUAGAGCCUAGUAAUGUAAGAUAUAAUCUCUCGUAAAAUUGUGGGCCUAAGUGGAACCUACAACUAAAUUUGUAUGAGACUGUACCUUACAUUACACGCUUCCUUUAACAAUUGACACAUGUUAAUUAAUGCAUUCCAGCAUCUCCUUCUGCAACGUGUCUGGCGACGUGGUUUUGUCUUCGUCUGUGCUCCGCCUUUCAUUUCUUGGAUAUCUUCAUCAUAGGUGUUAGAGCCAAGUUAAGGUUAGGUAGAUGAUACAAGUCCUCUUCAAAAUAGCUCUCUGUCACAAGUGGUUCCGGUACGUAGAUCCACGUCUUCUUUUGCAGCGUGGUUUGGCCUUUUCAGUUCUUCUCAUUCUUUGAUUUCUUCGAAUAGUUAUCUGCAUCGUGUUUACAGGUUAGGUAAGACUAAGGAUUGGGUUCUCACAGUUCUAAUAUUUUGAUUGGACCAUCCUGCAUCUAUCUCUUAUUUAGUUUAGCAUGACUUAUUUAACAUCAUAAAUAUUUCUUUAAUUUUAUAAUUUUUUAAAUAUUAAAUAAAUUAUUUUUUUAUUAGUAAAAUUUUAAAUUUUGAGUUUUUGAAAAUAGAUUGAAAAAUAUUUUUAAAAUAUUAAAAUAUUAAAAAUAUUAUUUAUUUAUUUAAUAAUUUUAUUUCAUUCAUUUUAUAACAUAAAUUUAAAAAAUUACCUAUUAAAAAAAAUUAUAAUUUCUUAAUAAAAACUCUUAUUGAUAGUCAAAUACCUUAAAGUUUUAGUAACAGUUUGCUUGUAAAAGAUUUAUUAACAAAAGUUAUGCCGAAAUAAAUUUUAUUUGAAAAAUUAUAUCAAGGCUUGAUUUGGUAUCAAAAGAAAAUUAUCAUACACUUAUAUUUUUAUAUUAUCAUUUAAAACUGAAGAGAAGAGUAAAGAAAGAUCAAACCAGAGUGAAGAAAGGUUAACAUAAAAUGAAAGAAAAGCCUCGGGCAUUAUACUAUGAUUUGGGAGAAUGAUGCGUUAUUUAGUUUUGGUGGGUGUAAAAGGAAAACGAAGCUUAAUAAUAUGAGCUUAAAACUCAAUUAAAAUGAGUUUAAUGAAGGGUAGUUUUAGCAUUUUAAAGUGCGAUCAUAGUUAAUUUUAAUUUUUGUAACUUAUUGAAUAAACUAUUUGCAAUGAAUUAAGAAAAGUAAUCAAUAACUAUAACAAUAAAAGUAAUGAUUACUGAAACGACCCAUCUCGAACUUCAAGAGCAAAUCUAUCUAAUUUCUUUUAACGUGAUUAGUAAAACUUAUUAAUAAGGAUUUUGCUAAAAUUUUCCAACAUGCAAAUCUUCAAAACAAACACUUUCAAAAUAAUUCAAUACACAACAAACUUCAUUGUUCAACCUUCUCAACCAUGAUAUUGAAUAUCACCUAAACACUUAUAAAGUAUCAAAAGAUUAUGUUAUAGCUAAUGUCAACAUAUAUUAAACAUUCAUAAUCAUCAAAUCAUAAUACAAUUAUACAAUCCAAAAUGAGAUGAUCUAAUUCCCUAAUAAUAUCAUUUAUAUCUUUUAGCACCAUCACGUGGCCAAAAUUCAAAAACACUACAGUCGUUGGGUCGAUUAAUGUAUCCACAACCUUCUGUGGGGGAAAAGUAUAGUAAAAUGGAAUGAAUAUAAAACUCAACGAGUGAAUAAUAACUUUUGAAAAUAAUAUAUUUUAAAAUAAUUAUAUCUUUUCAAUAUACUAUUUUCAUCAAACUAUAAGUAAGAACAUAGAUGAAUUAUUCGAACUUUAAAUCAAACAACUAUCGUUUUAAUUUUAAAGUGCGAUCGUAGUAAAUUUUUAUUUUUUUAAUUUAUUGAAUAAACUAUGUACAAUCAAUUAAGAAAAAUAAUCAAUAACUAUAACAAUGAAAGUAUUGAUUACUGCAACGACCCACCUCAAACUUCGAGGGCAAGUCUAUCUAAUUUCUUCUAACGUAAUUAGUAAAACUUAUUAAUGAGGAUUUUGCUAAAAGUUCGUCGACAGAGUGCCCCCCUAUAUUUAUAAAAUUUCUAACAUGCAAAUCUAAACGCUCCCAAAAUAAUUCAAUACACAACUAACUUCAUUGAUCAACCUCCUCAACCAUAAUACUGAAUAUCACCUAAACACUUCUAAAUUAUCAAAAGAUUAUAUUAGAGCUAAUGUCAACAUACAUUAAACAUUCAUAAUCAUCAAAUCAUAAUACAAUUAUACAAUCCAAAAUGAGAUGAUCUAAAUGCACUAAUAAUAUCAUCUAUAUCUCCUAGCACCAUCAUGUGGCCAAAAUUAAAAAAAAAAACAAAUACUACAAUCACUGGGUCGAUUGGUGUACCGUAACCUUCUUUAGGGGGAAAGUAUAAAAAAAUGAAAUGAGUAUAAAACUCAAUGAGUGGAUAAUAGUUUUUGAAAAUAACAUAUUUUAAAAUAAUUAUUUCUUUUCAAUACACCAUUUUCAUCAAACUAUAAGUAAGAACAUAGAUGAAUUAUUCGGACUUUAAAUCAAACAACUGUCGUUAAAAGAAUACAUGAUAUUAUACAUAAUAUACAAGGAAAUCAUAUCAAAAUAUAAUAUAAAAUACUUGAUUAUGAAAUUGUCACUAAAUAGUACCUAAGUAAAUAAUCUUGUCAUUCUCGCACCUCUUAUCGAUGGUGAAAUGACGUACUAUCUGAGUACUAUCAUGUCCGGAGCUAGAACGAGUAGACCAAUGGCAUGCUAUCUCAUAUAUCUCAUCAUAUCUCCUUAUAUUUCAUGUAAAAAACAAUCCCUACAGGACAAAAACACCCAAGCACACAACCCAAAAUCUUUGUGUAUAUUCAGACGGGACCCAAAGAUCUCUAGCUCAACUAUAAUCUCUACAACUGAAUCUAUAUCUCUGUAUCUCAAACUGUAUCUGGAGGGGAGGAGUAUUGUCAAAUGAUUUUAAAAACAAACUCUUAUACACUUGUAGAUAAACAUAUAAUCAUACUUUAAACUUCAUUUCCUUUUUCAUUAACAUACUGUAAAUCUAUUUUUCUUUUCUUUAAAAUACUCUUAUGCGUUUACUCAACAUAGAGAAGCAAAAGUAAUCAUCAAACACGUUUUAACAAUAUAUUAAUACAUAAAUAAAAAUCAUUUAUAAAACCAUUAAAUCAAAACAUUAAACUCUUGUUUCGUAUGCAUGCGUUACUUUACUUAAUUUAAAAAUCAUAAUAAAUUAUAAAAAUGGGUUUAGUAUAUUCCAUUUGCAAUGAUGAUGCUCAAGCUCAACUAUUAUCGACAUCCGCAGAUUGACUCACGUUUAUGGCUCCUCUAAAUUGUGGAACGACAUAAUUACUUUUUGAAUAUAUGAAAUACAACUAGCUUUAAGCAAGAUAGCUCUCAAUGAAUAUUUAUCCCACAAUGUACAACUCCCGAAACCAUACUUGUAAGAUAAAAAUGACCAUAAUAUACUCAAAGCCAUAAUUUACACCUUAUACAUAAAAUUCCAUACUCCUUAAAUUUUUCAUAUGUUAUAAUACUAAUAAAUCUUCCACAUUAUCAAAAAUCUCAUAAUUAACCAUAACCUACCUAAACAUGAUGCAUAACUAUAAGCUAUUUACAUACCGAAAUGAGGGAACGAUGAGGGCUACGCGUUUCUAGGUGUACAAUGCCUCAUUGGUGCCCUUGUGCAUCUAUAAUAAUCCACUAGUUACAAAAAUUAGCUUGGGACAAUUUUUACCCGUUUGUUAGAAACCUUAACUAUAAAUAAAGUAUACAAAUUUUUAAAUUAACUUCAUUCCCAUGAGAUCCAACUUCGAAUAAAGAUAACAUGAUAGAAAUAUUACUUCCUUUGGUGAGAAAAACCAACUUGGAAGCUUGAUUACUUCCUUCUCACUUAAAUCCCCUCUCUACACUUACAUUUAAAUUCCUCUUUAAUGGAUGUUUUCAAAAGAAUUUAGGGACGGAAACACUCUAGAAUAACUCUCCAUUCCAAGCUUUCCAAGAUCCAAACUCAAACUUUGAAAAAUUUCCCCAUUUUUCUCCUCUUUCCCAUUGCUCCUCUUCUCCUUUUCUUUUUUGCCUUUUUUUUUUUCAAAUCAAUACAUAUAAAAGCCAAUGGAGACUAACAGGCUUUCAAGUAAGGGUGGAUGUUCAGAUUGGUAUUUGUUUUAUUCUUUAUUAAUCUGGCCUGGAUUUGAGAUUCUGGAACUAUAAGUGGCUGGUUACUGGGAAAUUUUUCGAAAAUGAAAUUUUUGUAACCUAAAUUGGACCCAAACUGAAAUUGAGACCUAAAUUUUCAAACCGAACCAAUCCAAAGUGUGAUCCCAAAUAGAACCGAGUCGAACUAAAUUCGGUUCGGUUCUGUUUGGGUUCAUGUUUUGAACCUAAUUGGGUUGAAUACUCUAACCCGAUCAGGUUGUAACCUAACUGGAACUCAAACAACCCGAAUCGAAACCCGAUAUGCCCACCCCUAUUUUAAAGCCUACAGACCAAUGGAAGAAAUGGAAAGAAAAAAUAUGUUAUAGUUAUUAACUUGAUUCUUGGGUAUUAUAAUCUCAAUAUUUAACAUGAUGUUGUUUCUCAUAUUAGUUUCUAUCUUCUGUGUUGAGACCUAGAGUCUUAUUCAAGUUGGCAUCUUGUAAGGAUUGGCAUUCUUAUUGAAUUGUAAUUCAUAAAUUGAAGGCUAUGUUAAUUGGGAGAUUUCUUAAUUUAGUUAUUUUCUUAAAAUUAGGAUUUAAGUCUUUUCAUUUUAAGGAUUUACUUAGAACACAAAGAGUCUAAUUUUGGAAGCAAAUCAAAAUUUAAAAAAAAAAAAAAAGGCUCUCUAUAACUUGUUAUAGAAGUUAUUCAUUGAAGAUAGUUCAUCACAAGCAGAAAAAUAGAAUUUUAAGGUGGAUGAACAAUGCUAUAAAUAGUAUUAGAUGAACAAUAUUAGUUAAUAGUGUCUAUUGAAACUAUUCAUUGAACUUUAAUCUUUAUAGGGUACACGCUUAUUUAGUCUCUAUAUUUUCACUCAAAUAUAUGUUUAGUCUCACAUUAUAAAAUAUAUCUCAAAACACUCAUAUAGUUAAAUAUGUUACAUUCUUAACCUUUUUUGGUUUUAUGAUAACACCCUUCAAACAAUAUUCUUGACAUGAAUUAAGGUAUCUAUAAAAAAAAGUUAAUUAGCAUCUUAACCAAUAAUUAAUUAUUAGCAAAUUAAUUAACAAAUACCACUGUGAAAGAACUAAUAUUUUUAUACUCUUGCAACAAUCUUACUAAUAAUUAUUUAUAAAUAAAUUAAUAUUAGCCAACUUAAAACAAUGUUUAUUAAUAUCUUUACAACAAUUUUAAUAAUAUUUUUUUUAUAAAAAUUAAUUUACUAAAUUAAUUUUAAAAGAAAAAUAAUAAUAUAAAAGUUUGGGUAAAUUUUUAUGUUACUUUUAAGAUAAAUUUUGGUAAAUUAACAAUUUUUAUUGAUAUCCCAAGAAUAUUGUUGCAAGAGUGUUAUCAUAAAAAGAAAAAUAUUAAGGGUAGGAAUGAAACAUAUUUGACCUCAUGGGUGUCUUGAGAUGUGUCUCUCUGUGUGUAACACUUAAAUCAAAAUAUAGGGAUUAAAUAAGUAUUAACCUAUUUUAUAUUCAUCCCACUCUUAGACAUACUUUUGGUGCGUUUGUGAUUAAGGUUGAGCAGCUGUAGCUUUUAAGCUACAAUAGUAAAGUGUUUGGUAAACACUAGCUGUUGUACCUUGAAAGUUAUGUUAAUAUGAUUUUUCACUUGUAUAAUAAAAAAUCUAUUAUAUCUUUAAUGAUUUUGUCAAAAUUAUUAUUUAAAAUUUAUAUUUACUAUAUAUUAUUGAUUUUUGUUUUAUAGUUACAGUUUUUUUUCCACAGCAGUUGUAGCUUAAAAGUUAUAGUACCUCAAUCCCAAACAGGACCUUUGUUAAUUGGUCUCUCUUCGUUAAUUGGUCUCUUCCAAAAAAGAUGUUGUUUGGAGCAGUUAAGGAAUUUCAUAUCAAGGUUAUGAACAAGAAGACGAAUGGUUCUCGCAAAUUACAUAUGCCUUAGUUGACUGAGAUGGUGGCAAAAGUAAAUUUUCCUACAUAUUAAAAUACUAAAUGUGAUAUAAGAACCAACUAUAAGUAAGUUAAAUUGAUGAUUUGGUAUAAUUACAAUAAUUAUUAUUUUUAAUUGAUAUGUGGGUUGAAAUGGCUAUAUAAUCAUUCUUAAGUGCGAGCAUCCAUAUUUUUUUGGGAAAAGGACAAACACACCCCCAACGUUUAGGCAAAGGGAUAAAAAACCUCCUAACGUUUUAAAAAAGACAUUUACACCCCAACUUAUUAUAAUUUUACCAUUAUACCCUUCUAGCAUAUAAAAAAAUUAUUAGAUUAUCUAAUUUGUCUAUAUAUUGUUAAUAAAAUUAUAAAUAGAAAAAUUGGAUAUUAUAAAAAAAAUUAUAAAUAUACCCUCAUUGCCCAAUUCUUCUAUUUAAAUUUUUAUUAAUAACCAAUUUUCAAAAAAGACAUCUAUACACCUAAAAAAUUGUAAAUAAAUUAUAAUUUUAAAAAUAAAAUUGGUUAUUAAUAACCAAUUUUAUUUAAAAUUUAAACUUGUAUAUUUAACAAUUCUCCACAUGUCAAUCAUUUAAACCAGUACAUUUAUAACCAAUUUUCUAUGUUAUUUAUUAUGGUAUUAAUAACCAAUUUUAUUUUUAAAAUUAUAAUUUAUUUACAAAUUUUUUUUAAGUGUGUAGAUGUCUUUUUUGACAAUUGGUUAUUGAUAAAAAUUUAAAUAGAGGAAUGAGGUAAUGAGGGUAUAUUUAUAAUUUUAUUAACAAUAUAUAGAUAAAUUUGAUAAUCUAAUAAUUUUUUUUAUAUGCUAGAAGAGUAUAAUGGUAAAAUUAUAAGAAAUUGGGGGUGUAAAUAUCUUUUUCAAAACGUUAGGGGGACUUUUGUCCCUUUACCUAAACGUUGGGAGUGUGUUUGUCCUUUUCCCUAUUUUUUUAAUACCGAUUCGCUCUUAAACUGUAUAAUUAAAAAAGAUAAAUUUUAAAAUAAAUUAUAAUACUGUCCUAUUUAAAAGAGUUAAAAACUAACUCUCUUUAAUUUCACAGCUUAAAAACAUAGCCAAAAAGAAAUUUUAGGGUGCCGGCAUUGAAAAAAGACACACAUAAUGCUUAUCAAAUCUAAGAUUAAAAUUCGGAAUUAAAAUUUGAGACGGAUAAAAAAUAUCGUAAAAGUAAUUUAGGAUGCCAUAAAUUCAUACUGGUGUCUAAUUCUAAACUUUAUCUCCAGAUUUCAAACAUUCAUCGCUUUGUGGCCCCUAUUUUCUUUAUUUUUCUAACUUUCUUCCGGUGGCGGAGCCCACCAUUGGAAGAGUUAAUAUUUUUUUUUGACAUUUUUUUCAUUGUCUAGCCCACCACCUUGUUUGACUCUUCUCUGGAAAAAGUUGCUUCUCUAUAUUUUUUUUCAGAACUUGACUAGCUUACAGAAUCUGUAAGCUACAGACUGCAGCAUCAGCCGUUGGAUGUGGAGUGAGAAACUAAACAAUAGAAGAUCGGACGGUGGGAUGACGGGAGAUGUUAGACAGGUCCUUUUUUUCAAUGCCGAACCUGCCGAGCCCACCAACCUGUUCUCAUUUUUUUUUUUUUUUUUUUCGCAAACCCUUACAUACAUUUUAUAUAUCUUACACCAAACAAUGAAUGGACGCCACACUACUCACUGUGUGAGUGGUUGUAAUAUAUAUUAAGGCCAUAUUUGCUUGGGGGUUGAGAAGUGAGGAGAGGAAAAGAAUUUAAUUUCUUUUAUACUUUUCAUUGUUUGGUUAGACUAAAUUUAAUGGAAUUGAAUUUUCAUUGAAAUUUAAUUUCCAUCAAUUUGAAAAAUUUGUAUUCCUUAUCAAUGACUAAGGAUUUCAAAUUUCUUAUCUAUUUAAACACAAAAAUUCUAAUAUUAUCCUCUAAACAAAAUCAAUUUUAAAUAAAUGAAAGUAUAAAUAAUUUAUAUUUAUUUUAUUAAAUUAAUAGGAUAAAAUUAUUUGAUAAAAAAAAAAAUAGUAAAGUGACUCGCCGGAAAGUCACCGAAGACUCGCUGGAGUUUCGCCGGAGAUGCGUUUUUCCAUCAAAACCGGUACCAAUAGAAUCCUCAUGAGCCGAUCUACAACUUUAUGGGGUUAGAAAUGCUAAUAUACAUUGUUAUUUACCUCAAGUCUUGUUUAAAUACUUGAGAAAAUUUUAACUCAACUAUAUAGUGUAUUUUCUUCAAAAUUAACAUUUAAAAUGAGUAAAUCGUCCAUUUUUUUAAUAAUUAUUAUGCAUUUAACGCGAUGAAAAAUGGUAGUCAACGAUGGUUAACGGCGCCGGUCAAUGACGAUCAACAGAGGUCAAUGCGGCAGCUGUUCAUGGCCAAAUGCUGUAAUUUUUAAAAAAUAAAUUUUUUAUUAAAUUAAGUAAUUUUUAGAUUAAAUUAAUUCAUAGUUUUAUUAUGUUUUAAUUUAUUAACAAUAUUAACAUUAAAGAUAGUGGGUAUAUUUGUCCAAAUAAAAAAUAUGUAAUUUCUUUUCCUUUCAAAUUUUAUGUAAAACCAAAUAAUAACAAUUAAUUUUUGCACUAUUUUCCUCUUAUCUCCUCUCCAUUUCUCUCCUUUUUUUCUCCUUUCGUCUCCUCCCUUUCUUAAAACCAAACACCACAUAAAUGUAUGUUAGAGGAAUCCUUUUCAUUUUAUUCAGGCUUUGAUUUCCUUUCAUCGGCGGGGUGGGUACUUUUAAAAAGAAAAUUAUACUUUAAAAAUAUUUUCAUCAUUUAUUUUUAAUUAAAUAUUAUAUUAUCAAAUUACUCUUUAUGAAAUUUACCGUUAUAGACAAUCAUAGUUACUAGAUACAAUUUUAUAAUUGUGUCAAAAAAAUCGUUUUUUAAUUUUUUUUUCAUUUUAAUUUUCUCCUCGACUUCACUGGUAAAUAUUUACUCUAAAAAAGAGUGGCUGUUAAAACAAAAAUAAAUAAAUAAUUGGGCAUUGGUUUGGAUAAGAUGGACAACAUUUAUUGGGACUCUAUAUCAUUGGGCGGUAGAACUUGGAGGUUGGACCGUUGCGCUUUUAAUAAAUUAAUUUGUAAGCAAUUUUUUUUUUAUUCGUUAAUAUAUUACAAUUAGAGCUCUACUGAUAUAAUCAGACGUCAAUAGGGUACUCUCCUCAAUAAUUCUAUUGUAGCACAGCUCAAAUAUCAACUCUUCGCUUAAAACUGAAGGGAGAUCUACCAUCACUAUUAAUACCGGAGGGGAAUCAAUUCUACCCCAAUGUCCAAGUUCUCAAUAAUUUUAGUGUGAACAAAAGUUCAGUUCAUGACCAUGAAAUUAAUCGGAGUUGUUCCGAUGGUUACUGCAAGAGUGUUGAUGUUUGAAGAAAGAGAGCUUGGGCAAAAUAAACUAAUUUUAGGGUAACUUUGGGAUUUUGAUGAGCGUGAUAGUAAAAAAUUAUAUUUUAAAUUUGACAGUGUAUUGAGUAAAUGAGUGUCCAAAAUAUUAUUUAGAGUAUAAAUAAUCUCACCUAAAAAAAUUAUUUACUUUAAUAAAGACACAAUAAUUUACGUGAUUUGACUUAAAAUCUACAUUUACGAGCAAAAGUUAAAAAUAACUUCAUUAAUAAAUAAAAAUUUACCAAAUUAAGAAAAAAUACCCUCAAAACUCAAAAUCCCAAUAUACCCAAUUAAACCAUUAGUAGAACACUCAAAUAAAAACUCUAUUCAAUUUCUCAAAUUACUUCCCUUAUAAUUACUUUCAACUUUCACACUUUAGGAUGAUCUUUAAAUGACAAACUGCCGCUCUGUCUAUGCCUCUAUGGGAGUGCGUGGCUCAACUAUUUCUCUCAAUUUUGGUAAUUUGUCAACUUGUUUAGUCCACCGAAUUCGGAACCCAAUCUUGUGCCGCCAUUUCUUAAAAAGCUCUCCAAAUGCAUUAAAGUGUCAAGUAUUUCAAUAACCAACUCUCUACAUUUGUUGGCAAUUUUAAAUGUAUUUAAUUCACUUUUUUUGACUUUUCAACACACAGGAUGUGGAGAAAAAUAAUUAUGUUUUCGUUCUAUUUUUUUCAAUAGUUAGUAUGAUAAUCAGCCAAAUAUAUACAACAUACCAUUCUAUAACUCUGAUACUUUAUAAUAUAUACCAAUCAAGCCCUAAGUCUAAGACUGUCUCAUAAAACUAUUAAAAAUUUUGAACCUAAUACUUCAACGCAUCACUAAAAGGUUUUUUAAAUUAGAUUUUAUUACUUAUUAACGAGUCAUAUCAAUCAAUAAAUUUUAAAAGACUUUUUAAGUGAGUUUUUUUUUUUUUAUUGAAGAGAGAAAAAAGUACUAUCUCAUUUGAAGGGUUUUUUAAAACCUUAAAUUUAUUCUACUCUUUCUCAUAAUUUCAUGAAGAGAAAGAAGUAUCAUAUUUGCUAUUGAUUUUGUAGAGAAUUUUUUUUGAUUAAAAUAAUAUAUUUAUACUUUUAUUUAAAGAAUCUUUUAAUUUUUUUCCACUCUUUCAUUUACAAUAUAUAGAAGUAAAUAAAUAUUUAAAAAAAAUUAAAUUUAGAAGAAUAUUUUAGUGAUCUUCUUAGAUCUACUGAGUGUCUGUUUGGUAUAAUUUAUGUAAUGCUCAUAAGUAUUUAUUUAAUCUCAAAAAUUCUUAUCAUAAUUUUUAUUACUAUUUAUUUUUUUUAGAGAUUUUAUAGUUUAAAUAAGUUAUUUUAUUUGUACUAGUAAAAUCUCAAAUUAGGAGUAGAGAUUGAAAUUUUUUUAAAUAUUAAAAUAUUUAAAAUAUUAUCUACUUAUUUGACUUUUUUUCAUAACAUAACUUUAAAAACUUACCGAUUAAAAUAAUUUCAUAAAUUUUUAAUAAAAAUUCUUAUUAACAAUCAACAACUAAAAUUUUGUAAGUAAAAAUUUUAUUUAUAAAAAUUUUGUUAUCAAAAACUCUAUUUAAAUAAAUUUUAUUUAAAAAAUUAUAUUAAACGGAGCCUUACCCUCGCGAAUCGCGAUACCAUAACUAUUUUAAAGAAAUCGAAGAAUAGAAAGAAUUGAAAAGGCAAAACCGCGUUGUAAAAGAGGACGUGAAUCAACGUACCGAGGCCACUAAUGACAAAUAGCUACACCUUUUGAAGUAGACUCCCAGUGUCUACCUAACCUAAACGGGUACAGUGACCUUUUAUUUUUUUUGACAAUAGAUACAGCUACGUAUGACUGAAGAAAUAAAAAAAAUAUGAAAAGCAUAGGGUAGAAGAAAACAAAGCUACCCAUUGGCUUCGUGUUGCAACUCUGCAACAGAAUGUCAAAUCGACAAUGAUAUUUCUUUGUCCAUUUUCACGUGCACAACCAUAAAAAAGAAAAAAAAUAUCACAAUUGUAUGUAUAUGCUGGUGGGUCCUUUUUCAAAUUUGACAAGAGGAUUUUAAUUUCUUAUGAAAUUUGUGUUACUUCAAAUCAUUUUAUAGAAAUUAGGGAUGGCAAUGGGAAGGGGAGGGGAGGGGACCAAUCUCAUCGUACCUAUUCCCGAUAUUUUACGUAUGUCACCGUUUCCUCCCCAUCCCCAUCAUAAUUACUUGAGAGAAUCUUUUUUCCUUCCCCGAAUAAUAACAGUGGAUUCUCGAGGGUCUCCGAUCCCCGUAUAACUAAUACAUUUUUUUUUUAUUUUUAGUUAAUUAUAUUAAAAUAAAAAAUUCAAACAAAAGUAAAGUUCGAAAUAUAUUUUACAUUAACAUUGAUCCAUUAUAAAAGUCACAUGCAAAAUACAAAUUAUCAAAAUAAUUAUCUUUGUCAAUCUUCAUAAUCCUACAAUAAAAAGAAAAAAAAUUUACUUUUAUAUCGACAAUAAAUAAAUGAAAUAAAUAUAGAUACUUAAUUAAUAUUUUUAAUAAAAUAAAAUUAAAAUUAAAACAAAAUUUUUGGGCUAAUAGAAUCUACCCGACCUUUUUAAUGUCUUAAAUAAAAAUUUAAGACUUUAAUUAGUUAAUUAGGCCUAGAAGUUUAAUAAUAUAAAUAUUUUAAUAUUUGUUACUUUUACCAAUAGUUAUAAUUUUAUAAUAUAAUUUAAAUUUUAUUAUUUAUUUACUAGUAAUUUUAAAAAAUAAAAAUAAAAUUAAAAGUUAAAAUGGGGAGAUGGGGAGGGGAUGGGGAUUCCACCUCAUCUCCGCCCCUUCCCCGAAUAAGAAACUGGGUAAAAAAAAUUUCCCAUCCCUUCCCCGAAUAAAAAAUUGGGUAUAAAAUUAUCCUCCCCGAAUAAAAAAUUGGGUAUAAAAUUAUCCUCAUACUCUCCCCAAAUGAGAAAAAUUCCCGAGAAUACCUCUCCCCGAAUGAGAAAUUGGGUAUAGAAUUUAUUCUACUUUUUCUCAUAAUUUCAUGAAGAGAAAGAAGUAUCAUAUUUGCUAUUGUUUUUGUCGAGAAAUUUUUUUGAUUAAAAUAAUAUAUUUAUACUUUUAUUUAAAGAAUCUUUUAAUUUUUUUCCACUCUUUCAUUUACAAUAUAUAAAAGUAAAUAAAUAUUUAAAGAAUUAAAUUUAGAAGAAUAUUUUAGUGAUCCUGUUAGAUUUAUUUAGUGUCUGUUUGGUAUAAUUUAUGUAAUGCUCAUAAGUAUUUAUUUAAUCUCAUAAAUUCUUAUCAUAAUUUUUGUUACUGUUUAUUUUUUUUAGAGAUUUUACAGUUUAAAUAAGUUAUUUUAUUUGUACUAGUAAAAUCUCAAAUUAGGAGUAGAGAUUGAAAUUUUUUUAAAUAUUAAAAUAUUUAAAAUAUUCUCUACUUAUUUGACUUUUUUUCAUAACAUAAUUUUAAAAACUUACCGAUUAAAAUAAUUUCAUAAAUUUUUAAUAAAAAUUCUUAUUAACAAUUAACAAUUAAAAUUUUAUUUAUAAAAAUUUUGUUAUCAAAAACUCUAUUUAAAUAAAUUUUAUUUAAAAAAUUAUAUUAAACGGAGCCUUAUCUCGCAAAUCAUGAUACCAUAACUACUUUGAAGAAAUAGGAGAAUGGAAAGAAUUAAAAAGACAAAAUCACGUUGUAAAAGAGAACGUGGAUCAACGUACUAGAGUCAUUAAUGACAAAUAAUUACACAUUUUGAAUUAGACUCCCAGCGUGACAGCGCUACCACUCUACCUAACCUAAAGGAGUACAAAAACCUUUUGUUUUUUUUGACAAUAGGUGCAGAUACGUACGAAUGCAUUAAUUAAUGAACAGCAGAGGGUAGAAGAAAACAAAGCUACGUCGCCAGACACGUUGCAGAAGGGAUUCUGGAAUGCAUUAAUUAAGGGGCCUUAAGUAUUCAAUAGUCCAAGAAAUGAGAAGGCAGAGCGUCGAAGAAAACAAAGCCACGUCGCCAGACACGUUGCAGAAGGGAUUAUGGAAUGCAUUAAUUAAGGGGUCUUAAAUAUUAAGUAGUGACAUCUUUUUUGUGUUUUUCCAUAAGAAGAUGCUGGAAUGCAUUAAUUAAGAGGCCCACUGUGAUUAAUUCAUAACUACUAGUAAUUUGUUUGUAUUCGAGUUGCUCCUUUGUAUAACUAGACGUGAAAAUGAGUGUUUGGUGGGGUGGUGGAGUCGAGGGUGCUAAGAGCAACAAAAAUAAAUUCUGAAGCAAUUGUUCUGACUCUUGAGUGCUUAUAUUUAUUUCAUUAAUCUCGGAAGAUAUGGCGUCUCAUAAGGUGCCUGGUAAUCGCAAAUUGAUAGGUUCCAAAUCAGAAUACUAUUUUAUGCUUUAUGCAGGUACUGAAGAAGUGAAGAGCUACGACCGGAUUGAUUUUGGUAUGUUUGGUCGGAGUUGGGCUCCCAUUGUUUCUUGGGCCGUGAUAGUUGUUCCCCACGAGCCGGAGAGUAAUUGGAGAAAAAAUUUACCUAAUCCAAGUGUCAAUAAUAUGGACCCCGCUAGCUCGCUUUGUGUUAUUGCAUCUGGUUCUUCUAAUGGUUAUAAGCCUAUAGGUGAUGAUAAAAAUGAUCGUCCUUUUCAUGGCGUUAGAACUACAGUUCCAUUGAACAAAUUGAAAUAUGAUCGUGAAGUGUUGCGCGGAGGUUCUCUUAUUUUGGAGAUUAAUCUUUUAGAGGUUUUUCACGGAGGAGAUGUCGUGGAUUCUGAUCAUACUUUUGAUGGUCAAGUGUUUUGGAACUUGUACUCGAAUUGAAUAUUGUGCGGUGAGAUAAGUUGAUGUGUGUAUUAAUGGUAUUAUCUAAUAUAAACAUAGGAUUGGACAUAUAGUUGUGUCAAUGUAUUGUGUAAUUUAACUACCUCUAGAUAAUAUUAUCGUUUGUGUAAUGAUUGUAAUUGAUGUUUUGUUGGAGGAUCCUUUAGUGUGCUUAUAAAAAGGAUUCAAGUGUGUUGUAACGAGCAGAGCUCUUCUAAGUCUAGUCCAUAAAUAAAUAAAAGAGUUGACUAUAAUGUAAUAUUGUGGGGUCUUCUACUGUGUCUAUAAAAGGAUCCAAGUGUGUUGUAAUAUGAGUAGAGAUUCAUGAAUUUAGUCUAUAAAUAAAUUAAACAAGUGUUUUAUAUAGUUUUUUAUGAACAUGUAUGGUCUCAUUUCCUUCAUAAAGCAAUGUAUAGACGUAGAGAUUCAUGAAUUUAGUCUAUAAAUAAAUUAAACAAGUGUUUUAUAUAGUCCUUUUAUGAACAUGUAUGGUCUCAUUUCCUUCAUAAAGCAAUGUAUAGCCGUUGUGACAAAAUCUUAUUACUCAAGUUUACUCAUGAAUCCUUUACACAAAUGUUACAAAUGUAUAAUAACAAAAUUGAAA